rnacentral:lncRNA from 1 species
AUUGACAGGGGCAGUUCUUUAAUUUUUGACCAGGAUAAAUUAAGCUCUUCUAACUCCUCCAUACCUUCCGAAAUCUCUGGAAACAUCUCAAGACUAGAGCAGCGAGAAAGAUUAAAGGUUUUGAGAGAUCUCAUACGAAUUUUGCUGGGUAGAAUCUUAAGUUCCUUGCAAUUUGAUAGGUUCAAAUGACUCAACCCCGUGAGAUUAUUAAUUGAUGGGGGCAGUUCUUUAAUUUUUGACCUGGAUAAAUUAAGUUCUUCUAACUCUUUCAUACCUUUUGAAAUCUCUGGAAACAUCUCGAGACUGGAGCAGCCAAGAAGAUUAAAGGUUUUGAGAGAUCUCAUACGAAUUUUGCUAGGUAGAAUCUUAAGUUCCUUGCAAUGUGAUAGGUUCAAAUGACUCAACCCCGUGAGAUUAUUAAUUGAUGGGGGCAGUUCUUUAAUUUUUGAAUAGGAUAAAUUAAGUUUUUCUAACUCCUCCAUACCUUUUGAAAUCUCUGGAAACAUCUCAAGAUUGGAGCAGCCAGAAAGAUCAAAGGUUUUGAGAGAUCUCAUACGAAUUUUGCUGGGUAGAAUCUUAAGUUCCGCGCACCAAUUCAGAUCCAAUAAAACAAGGUUUGUAAGAGUCGAAAUAGACGCGUGAACCUCAACUAAGCUUAUACAACUUCGAACAAUUAGCCUCUCAAGAUUUGGCACAUUUGUGAAGUCAGGGGUUUCCUUAAGGGAUUGACAAUGACUUAAAUUGAUGAAUUUCAACUUUUCCUGCGUCUGUUAAAACAUUCAGGAAAACAUGCAUUACUUAAUAAGACAUCUCACUCAAAGCCCAAACAUUUAAAAGAAACAAAUACAUGUAAAUGAUUGUACGUACCUGGGUUCCUUCCCAAAGUCGAUCAAUGAGACUAUAUUGCAUGUCAAGUUCAACAAGAUUUUCGAAUUGAAAGUUGGAUGGCAAAGACUUGAGAGGGAAAUCAAGCCAGGAGAGAUACCUCAGGUUAAGCAACUUUAAGGACCCAAACAGGUAUUGUUUGCAGUACUCAUCUUUAAAAACGAAGUGCCUAUGACUGAUCUCGAGAAGUCUUUGUUGAGUCCUUCCAACAACAGCUUCAGCAUUUAAGUUCCUAUGAUGACUGAUCUUGAGAAGUCUUCGUUGAGUCCUUCUAACAACAGAUUCAGCAUUUAAGUGCCUAUGACUGAUCUUGAGAAGUCUUAGUUGAGUCAUUCUACCAAAAGCUUCAGCAUUUAAGCAUGGCCAGCCUGAGUACGAGAAAUCCACAAUUAUGCUUUCAACUGUUUUUGUAGCCUGUGCAAAUCAAAGUAAAGGAAAAUACAGAGAACCUUAGUUUUGAUUAUGAAAUUAAUGAUUGUUUCUUAAGGAGCCGUCUGAUAAUCAUUUCAUUUUCUGUUUAAUUGUUUUCAAUUUCAUUAUUACAACAAUGAAAACUAAAAAUUGAAAACAAAAAUGGUUAUCAAACGGGUCUAAGAAAUUGAUUUUGAUCAAAAGUUGAACCUUUCUACUAACAAUUGCAUAAGAAAAAUAUUUCUCACCGCAUUUUCAGUUAGCACCUGACGAACAUCUUCAUAACUCCACAACCUACUUCGUCUCCCAGGAUCUUUGAUAGAUUCUUGGCGGACAAUUUCCCAACCCAUUUCCUCUAAUGAAUCAUGCAUCUCCAAUUCCCCCAACCUUGAGACAGUUAUGAGAGAUCGAUCGAUUAGAACUUUUAUUCCUGUAUGAGGAUGGAAACCACAACUGUCCAGAAUUUCAGUUGCCUGGUCUUCCUUCAUCCCUUUAAAGAAACAUGCAAUAUCUAGAAAGAUGUCCUUCUGCGUGUCAUCUAGUCCAUCGAAGCUUGUUUUAAGCACAUCAUGAACUCCCCUUUGUGGGAUUUUCCUUAUUUUUUCCAACUCACCUUCCCACACGCGUAUGGUUUUUUUAUGCAAAAAAGCUCCCAAGACUUUGAGGGCUAAAGGCAGACCUUGAGCAUAUUCUACAACACGAUUCGAGAGAUCAUCAUAAUCUCUAGUGGGUUGGUCAUUUCUGAAGGCGUGCUGCCUAAAGAGUUUCAGAGCUCCAGAAUCACUCAAAGUCUUGGGAUUAUAUAUCACAUCAGCUAUGCUUAGUAACUGCGAAUCUCUACUUGUUAUAAUAAUCCUACUUCCACCACCAAAGGAAUGUUGCUCUCCAAGUAAAGCUUCAAUUUGUUCUAAUUUGUCCACAUCAUCAACAACAAUAAGAACUUUUCUCUGACCAAGGCUUUUUAACAUCACCUGGAAACCUUUACUCAAUAUGUCAGAAAUCCCCACCUUGUUGUCUGAGAUACUAGAUAGAAGUAGUGUCUGCAUAUGUAGUUCACCCUGCUUCAUGAAACCCUCCUUGACAUUUUUAAGAAAGCAACCAGCUUCAAAUCGACAAGAGAUUUCAUCAUAAACAGUUCUAGCGAUGGUUGUUUUGCCUAAACCACCCAUACCCCAUAUUCCAACAACGCGAACAUUAUUCGUUUCACCUCCGGGAGGAUAUAAUAAUAAAUGCAUUUCAUGCAUGUGAGAAUCCAUGUCAACCAAGCCAUUAUCUUUGCUUGAUGUUGAUGAGAUGUCUAUCAAUUUCCUAUAAACAUCUUCUACAAUUUCCUCAAUAAGCACCACAUCAUUCCUGUCAAAUUUAAAAAACAUAUAAUAACAACAUCAAAUAAUAAUUAAUGGGUCUUUUUCAUCUGUUAGUUAAAAAAAAAUAGAAAUUAAAACUAAAACUAAAAUCUAAACGUUACAAAAAUCCCAAAAAUUAAAAGGAAACUAAAACAAAUUAGAAUUUACUCAUAGUUUCGCGAAUCCCAGCCGGAUAAACAGGUGGCAGUUGUAAGAGUAGAUCUCCAACUCCGAACCUCUUCCAUUUCGGCGUUAGAAUCGCGAUCGUGCUCAGAAAAGCUUGUGCGAAACUUUUCUUGAGCUUACGAACAUGAGACGGAUCAACUUCAUAGAAAAUGGGGAGUACAAUCUGGUUAUUGGUAUCCUUGCAUUCCAGGAUUUGCACGAGUUCUUUCAAGCACCAAGUGGAAGAAGCAUAGUUUUGAGAGAAAACUACAAGCGAAAGCCUUGACCCUCGAAUCGCUGUCAGGAGCUCGGAAAGGUGGUCGCCUUUUCUGAGCUUUUCCGCAUCAAUGAAGGCGUUGAUUGGUUUCUUAACCAGAGCGUUGUAGAGAUGGCUGACGAAGCCCCUGCGAGUGUCUUCCCCUCUGAAAUUGAUGAACACAUCGUAUUUCCAACCAAGGUUAGAAGCAGCAGCCAUUAAUCGAUCGCACCUGGUCAGCGAUGAUCGAGCAGCUAAGACUAAGAAUAAUGUAAGAACAGAAAUACUCGAUUGAUCUAUAAAUUGAAUCACUGAAGAAACUGGUCUGAUCGAUACGAAGUCAACGAAGACAAAGAAAAUAAUGCUUUAUGUGUUUUCACAUCUUCUUCCGGGAAAUUUAACGAAAAUAAUUUUCCUUUAGGCAAAAUUGACUUCAAAAUAUAAAAAUAUUCUUUCAAUUAUGGACAUAUGACAUUUCGGUGUGAAACGAAUAUGCUUAUUUGGUUUGGUUUGGACCCAAGAAAGGACAAAGAUUGUCUGCCCUCCUACUUCCGGUGCCCUUCCAUGCCCUUCUGUUUGUGUAGUCACGGUUAAGCCACGUCAACAUUUUAUAUUACUAUUUAUUUUUGUCUUAUUAUCUCUAUAAAUAAGCAAUAUAAAAUAUUAACGUGGCAUAAUCGUGACCACAGAAAACAAGAGUUGGCACCAAAAAUAGGAGGACAAACAACCCUUGUCCCCCAAGAAAAUGCUAAGAAAGGAUGGUUUAGCAGCUGUGCAUGAGGGGACUGGGUCAAAGUACCCUGUUGAAUCCACUCUUGCCUACCCAACAACUUAUUUAGUUAUUUGUAAGCCCGAAAUAUAUCCCGAUCUUUCUAUUCACACCAAAAGUAAGUAGAGUGAUAAGAAAUAUUUCCGGUUAAGUAUAAGCAUGUCAGUCUGCAGCAGCAUAGCCACGUUAAGGGCUACCGUGGGCUGUAGUCUAUGUAAUUUUCAGUGAAAAAUAAAAUUUUACAUGUAAUUUUUAUUGAUUUUCAAAUAUACUUCUUCAUAUAUACAGUCUUUAAUCUGAAUUAUCUCAUUUUAAUUAUAUAAUUAUAUAAUACAGUUUACAAACUGUCUCUUUUUCUUACAUCAUUUUUCUCACCGCUUCUUGCACAUGUACAAGUUUGGAUUUUGUUUGAAUUUUAACACGUAUUUGUUUAAAAACGAAAAUCCUUGGCUUACAUAGUGAAAAUUUUCUUAAGUUAGCUGAUACUUUGAAAAAUACAGGAUCAAGUUUCUUUGUUUAUAAAGAUUUAAAUCUUUAAGCUAGCCCACCCGGUGAAAAAUUCCUAACUCCGUCAUGCAUUUUACAUAUAAUUUUUAUUGAUUUUCAAAUGUAGUCCAUCAUAUAUACCGUCUUUAAUCUGAAUUCUCUUGGUUUAAUUAUAUAAAAUUAUAUAAUACAGUUUACAAACCGUCUCUUUUCUUACAUCCUUUUUCUCACUGCUUCUUAUACAUGUACAAGUUUUGAUUUGUUUGAAUUUUAACACGUAUUUGUUUAAUAACGAAAAUCAUUGGCUUACAUAGUGAAAAUUUUCUUAAGUUAGCUGAUACUCUGAAAAAUACAAGAUCAAGCUUCUUUGUUUAUAAAGAUUUAAAUCUUUAAGCUAGCCCCCUGGUGAAAAAUUCCUAGCUUCGCCAUUGAGCAUGUGGUAUAUCCUAUGAUAUCAUGGACGGCAAACGAGCGAUUAAUGGUUGUUUGGCAUUUAAUUUGAUGUCACGGUAGUAACGGUACUCUAAAAUCUUUGAUAUACUUGCUUUCAGCUACAAAACUACUAGAACUCCGAAAAUUGCUUAUGAAAAUAAAAAUAUUGACUAGAUUUGAACUUGUAUAAUCUAUGUCUUCACUACACAUUGUUGUGUUCGCUCGUGUUCUAAAGUUGACGCUAGCUAGAAGGUCACAGCAAGAAGCAGAGGAGGCUAACUAUUGCAGAAAUUUGUUUAUUCAAAAGCAUUUGUAAAAACACAUAUUGAAAUUAAUUCACGCCAAAAAUAAAUAAUACAGUGGUGGCAGGCACACUACAACAAUAGGGUUUUAACCCUAUGCAUUUUUAUAUUGGCUUUUGUGUUAUCAGUUGCGACCGCUCGGUGGAGAGAGCAUUUUAUGUUAUGAAUAAAAAUACCACUGCGUAACAAAAUAGAAGAUUAAUGGUUGAGUGAUAGCUGGUUUGUUUGCAAUGAGAGAGAUGUUUUUGCUUUUAUUGAUAAUGAAUCUAUAUACGCGAUGUUUUCAUAGCAUAAAACAUCGCCGACAACAAUUGUAACUUUUUGUGUUGAUAAAUUAGGAAAGACAUUAAUAUUUUCUAAUAUCUAAAAGAAUUUGGAUGUCUACAUUUUUUUGGAAAACUUUUUACCCUUCUAAAUUUCGCGCCUCUCCCGACAAUUCCUAGCUUCGCCACUGCUAUAGUCAACUCCAAGUCUUGUCCAUGAUAUCAAUAUCCCUACUGUAAACGGUGACUUCAAUAUAAGCUAACAAAAAGUUUGUAUAGAGAAGAUAUAUGCAUGAAAAAAUGGCAGUGUUUGUGUUGCCGAACGGAUGAUACUGAAAUACCUAAACCCAAGUCAAGCUCCUUUAGUCCACAAAAACAAAAGUUUAGAAUACAAUAAUGUUUGCAUAUAGAUUGGAGAAACGACAUACCACCGGCCAGGAAGGUGCAGUGAAAGAGAGAGGAAAAGAGGAAAGAAACAAAUACGAAAUGACAAAGACUAUCAAAUAGAUUAUAACAAUGACUUCUUAGCGGUGAUCACAACUAUUCAACUAUCGAUGAUGCUUUAUUUUAGAUUGAGAUGUGGAAGCAUCUGAGAAGUAGCAUGUCAACAACCAUUACACAAUAAUAUUGUCUAAUAUCUAAAAGAACUUGGAUAUCUACAUUUUUUUAGAAUCUUUUACCCUUAUAAAUUUCGCACCUCUUCAGACAAUUUCUAGCGUUGCCGCUGCUUCAGUCAACUCCAAGUCCUAGUGGUUCUUGUCUAUGAUAUCAAUAUACCCAUUGUAAAUGGUGAUUUCAAUAUACAUAGAGUGUGUACAGGGGAGAUAUAUGUAUGAAAAAAUGGCAGUUGUUGUAUCUGUGUUGACGAACGGAUGGUACUGGAAUACCUAAACCCAAGUCAAGCUUCUUCAGUCCACAAAAACAAAAUGUUUAUUAUAUAAUAAUGUUUGCAUAUGGACUUGCGAAACAACAUACCGCCGGUUGGGAAGGUGCAAUGAAAGAGAGAGGAAAGGGGGAAAUAAACGAACAAGAAAUGACAAAGGCUAUCCAAUAUAUUAUAAAAUGACUUCUUGGCAGUGAUUAAGCUAUUCAAUUAUCAAUAAUGCAUUAUUCUUAAAGUUUAUAAUAUAAUAAUGUUUGCAUAUGCACUUGCGAAACGACAUAUCGUCGACUGGGAAGGUGCAAUGAAAGAGAGAGGAAAGGAGGAAAUAAACGAACAAGAAAUGACAAAGACUAUCCAAUAUAUUAUAAAAUGACUUCUUGGCAGUGCUUAAGGUGUUCAACUAUCAAUAAUGCAUUAUUCUUAGGUUGAAAUGUGGAAGCAUCCGAGAAAUAGCAUGGUAACAACCACACAAUAAACAAAAGUGAUUAGAGAAAAGAACCAAAUGUGAAAGGAUAAUUAAAAACAGUUAUUCAAGAUCGGCGGUAAAUCAUUCAGCUAUUUACAAGAUUUGAACUUAGAACCGCAAUCUACUAGAUUGUUGUAUCAACUAUUAAGUGGUGUUCUAAUAUAAUUCUUAGGAAUUUCAAGGAGGCAUAUGGGGGUGGAUCAUUUUUUUUCUAAAUUCGACAGUACAAAGAAGAAUUUAAUUGAUAACGGAAAAAAUAAGUUACAUAUAGAGCUGGAGCAUAUAAUAGACCCAAAUUGACCAUUUUUAGGCUCCACUGCUAAGAACUAUUGCAAAAUGCUCAUUAGGAUUACCCUGUGAACUCCGUCCUUCCACACCAAGCCUCCAAACUCAGUCCGAUAUGUUGCAGCUAGUUUAGAUACUUGUCCCCUGCAUGUUACAGAAUCACAAGAGCAAGCUUACAAAACUGCAGUUUUUACUCAUAGUUAUUGCAAAUGAAAAUACAGGUUGGUGCCAGCAAUUAUCAGUGUAAUUCUCUAUCCGACGGUAUUUCUCUCGCCUUCUCUUGAUAAUUUCGGAUGUGACAUGUUUAAGAUAACUCUUCCAAACACGUUGCUUAUGCCUAAUUUUUAAUACCACCAUAUCAUAUCAUAGUAAAUCCAAAUAACUAUCGAAUGGCAUUUAGGCAUCUAGAAUAUCAAAUGCAUUACUUUACAUUGAAAAUUCAUUUAUUCAAUAGCAUUAAUACACUAGUAAAAAAAACACUUUGCACGACGUAGGUCCUUCGUCGCGCAAAGUCAAAACAUGUCGCGCAAAACUUUGCCCAACGAACCUUCGUCACGCGCAAACCGUCGCAGCAAGGCAGUGACAUAAGGCUUUGCACGACGAAGGGUUACAUGCAUCGCGCAAAGCCACUUUGCGCGACGCAUGUAACCCUUCGUCGCGCAAAGCCAUUUUGUGUGAUGCAGGCUGCGUCGCUCAAAGUGGCGUCACGCGAAGAUGCUUUGCGCGACACAUGUCAUUGAGUUGCACAAAAUGACUUUGCGCAACGUAACCUACGUUGCGCAAAGUGUAUUUUUGGUUUUGGUCAAAAAUAUUAUUUUCUUAAUUUUUAAUAAUGUUGUAAUUAAAUUCUAAACAAUAAUUAAUUAACCAAAAAAAGUAUUUAAUUAUAAAAUAUAUGGAAAUGUACAUACAAGAUGUCCGAAUAAAAAAGAAAAAACUACAAGUAGUCUUCUAGGUGAAGUGGCUACUGGGUAUCAACAUGGUGAAGUGGCUUCUAGGUGAAGUAACAUUUCGAUGACGUGAAAAAGUUUCAAUUGGUCAUCUACAAGUGUCAAACCUAACACAUUUUACUUAAAAAAGAAAAAGGUAAUAACAUAACUCAAAACGAAAAGCAAAAGGGAAAAAAAAAAACUUUGCGCGACAUAAGUACAUAUGCAUCUCGCAAAGUUUUUUUUUCCCCCUAUUGCAGAUACAAAUAACAUCAUCCUUUUGCAAGAAUCAGUCUCUGCCCUCUCGCCCUCCCUCUCCCGCUCCCUCUCCUUCUCCUUCUCCCCUGUGUAGUUGUUGGUUGUGUUGUACGAAGUCGUCCCUCUCCCUCUCCCAUGUGUUGUUGUUCGUUGCACAAAGUAUUUUGCCCGAUGCAGGUGUACCUACGUCCCGUAAAGAUUUUUUUUUUUGCCCUUUUGCUUAUGAGUACAAAAUAAAUAAAUUAAAAUCUACUUACUAAAUCAACUAUGGAGCUUUUGACUUGUGUUAGAACACUGGAAAGAAAGACAAAAAGAGACAUUUUCAUGUUGACUUUGCACGACGCAUAGUACAUCAUGCGUCGCGCAAAGCUGUUUUGAGUGACGUAGUGUACCUGCGUCGUGCAAAGUUGGAAAAAAAACGGUAAAACAUUCUUGGUUUGGCCCCAAAAUCUUGCGCGGCGCACAAAACGUCGUGCAAGUGGUCUUUAUGCGACCAUACUUUGCGCAACGAAGGAGUGCGUCGCGCAAAACAGUUUUGAACGACAUAGAUGUACCUUCGUCGCGCAAAACAAUUUUGUGCGACCCACUCCUUCGUCGCACAAAGACCACUUGUGCGACAUCUUGUGUUUAGCGUUGCACAAAGUAUGUUUGCGCGACGAAAUUUGCUACGUCACGCAAACAUGUUUUUGUACUAGUGAUAACACACACAUUGAAUCUCCACUUGCCCACCCAAAAACUUCUUUGUAAACUAGAAAUAUAUUCCAAUCUCCCUAUUCACAUGAAGAGUGAGUUAGAGUGAUUGGAAAUAUCUUUGAUUACGUGUACGCACACCACAUAUGUGCCAUAUCCAACGGUAUUGCGGACAUAAAGCAAGCAAGUAAUGGUUGUUUGGCUUCUAAUCUGAUGUCACGGUAGUGACGGUACUACUUUGAAAUCUUUGAUGUAUAUGUUUUUAACUACAAACUACUAGAACUUCACAAAUUGCUUAAAUACAAGUUCAAGCAAUAAUAAGAAUAUUUCCAAUAGAACACCUUUCAUAGGGCCGGUCCAGAAAUUUUUGAGGCCCGGGACGACGUAAAAAAAAGUGCCCUAACUUCAUGUAAGAAAAUUAUUUAUUUUCACACGUAAGACAUCGAUAAAAUUAUACUUAGAAAAACACUUCAAACUUAAUAAUUUAAAAACACAUAAAGACUAAUUUAUUUUGUAUUGAGAGAGGGAAACAACAAAACUUCGGGCUUACAAGUAGAUAGAUGAUGAGUUUUGUUUUCCAUCUGAACUUUGAAUGUGUUUUUGAAUAAAUCAUGAGGUGUUUUUUUCUUAUUUACUAAUCUUGUCAAUAUGGGACUAUAAAAAAAUGAUGUUUUCGAGUCUUUAAUUGAUAUGUAUUAUUAAUGAAUUGGCACUAAAUUAAACAUUUUGAUGACAUGUCAUAUAAUUUGCAAAUUUGGUCUACGUAUUAUUCUUUGUUGAAGAUUAGACUUGAAUUAAAACGAAUAUUUAAAAAUAACAACCCACAUAUCUACUAGAUAGUAACUAAAAAUAAAUUAACAACCAAACAAAAAUUUGUAAAAAUUGAAAAGAAUAAACAUGCACAUAGCACUUCAAACAAAAAUCAUUGUUUCUAAGGGGGGUGUAUUCAAUUGAGAAUGUGAAAGAUUUUAAUGGAUUUAUAAAUCCAUGGAUUUUUAUGGAGUUUAAUUGAUUUGUAGAGAUUCCAUAUAAAAUUUUGAUUCAAUUCCUUCGAAAUCUCAUGGGAAGAGGUGAGAUUUGUGGAUACUUAAAAUACACUACGAAAUCUCUCCAAUUCCCUCUAAUUCUUUAACUUUCUCAAAUUCUUUAAAAUCAAUUUCUAAUUGAAUACACUUGGAAUGUUAUAAACUUCUUUAAAAUCUUAAUUGAAUACACCUGGAUUUCUAAGGAUUUUAAUAAACUAUUUUGAAAUUCUAAUUGAAUACACCUAGAAUUUCAGAGAAUCACUUAAAAUCCUAAUUGAAUACCCCUGGAAUUAUUAAUUCCCUGAAACUCUCUCAGAAUCCUAAUUGAAUACACCCCUCUAAGUAGACUUCUUGAUCCUUUUACCAAAUUUUAUAAAUUUAUUCUCUUAUGAAAAGAAAUUUGUAAAAAAUGAAAUGUAAAUAAGCACACAUGGUGUUUUGAACCCAAUACCUCCUCAUUAUUUUCAAAUGACAAACCACCACUUCUAGUUAAAUUUCUAUGUCUUUGAACCAAAUUUUAUAAAUUUAUACUCUUAUAAAAACAUACAUAAAUUGACACACCCCAUCCCGAAGGAGGGCAUGCUGGCCGUCACGUGAGAGUGACGUAACCAUUUGCACAGUACGGAAGCUUUAAGAUACAAUUUAUAAGUUGAUACACCCGAAGGUGAGUCCUAAUUUUGUCCAAUCUGUCAGAACACCGUCGAAUUCCUCGUAGUCACCACACCUUUGUGAUUCUUGAACCUGGAGGGGCGCAAAACCAAAAUUGAGUGGGUCAGUAAAACAAUUCUUUUCCAAAUCCAAACAUUUCUCAAAACGUUGUAACCCCUCUCCGUAAAACCUGUAUACUUUCCCAGAAAUGUAAAAUAUAAAUAUACAUAUAUAUUCUCAAAACUUCAUUUUUACUAUCUCAACAUUUUUCUUUAUCAAUCAUGCCAUGCCAUGUCUAAUUCAACAGUUAAAUAUGGAUGCAUCAACAAUAAUCAUAUCAGGUGCAAGAAAGUAAUCAACCGGAGGCCCUCUAAUAGCCCUGUACGGUUGAACCUAGAGCUCAAAAUCUAUCACUAUCACUCUACCGGAGUCACCUCUGUGACCCGUCCGGCCUUCUGCACACAAGUUAUGCUCUAGUGCUUUCUCAUCAAUCAUCUGUGCACAUAAUCUAAGGUCACCCACCAGUCGGAAUCUCACUAACACUCUCGCGACUGGCCUGUCGUACCCACUCCGCGUGGACUGUACGACUAGCAUCUACUUGGAUCCAAGGCGAGCGUGCGAUGCGGUGAAUACUAUAAGCACUAAACCAUUGGUGCAGGAUUUGAGCUCAAUAUAUAUCAACAUCAUCAUAACAGUAAUUAAAUACUCACCUGAUACUCACCUGUGCGUCCGCCGCACCAUUCAUUCAUAUGCAUCAUAUCUCAAUUCAUACUUUUCAUAUCAUUUCAUGCAUGGCAAUUCGAUUCACAUUUCUAUAUACUUUUCAUAUACUUUUAUGCAUGGCAUUUCAACUAAUAUAUCUCAUAUACUUUUAUACAUUUUCAUUAAAAACAUAAUUUCAUGCAUUUUCAAUUUCUGGGAAACGGCAAGUAUAUAUGUAUACGGAAAACAAAACUGCCCACUCACCUGGAGUUCGCCCUACAACUCCCUAGCACAAUACGCCAAGGCGUCAUGACGAUCGGCGCCUAAAAACAAUAAUUAAUUCCAACCUCAGAAUUCAUAGUGAUAGAAUAUAUAACUUAUAUAAAAUACGUCACUACGUAGUUCGAUCCGGAAGAUCUGCCACUCAGAUUUUAAAUCCAUAACUUCCAGAGGUCCACAAUAUACCUCUAGGACAACUUCCUAAAAUUUCAUUACCAUCCAACGGUCGGAUCUCCGUCAAUUUCCAAAACUAAGUGACGGUUAACAUUUUAUUUUAUGAACUUACAAUUCCAAUUCCGGAAGAUCCGUAACUCGGAUUCCCAAUCCGUAAGUUCCAAUAAUCCUCAAAUAUUACGUAUUACAACGUAUCAAAGUUUGGUAACGAUCCAACGGUCGGAUCGUCAAUUCACAUUUUCACCAAAACUAUAAAACGUUAUUCGAACACCUAACCAACAAUCCUUAAUAACUUUCUCAUACGGUGCUCAAAUUGGGUAUAUGAAUAUACCACGGUGAUCUACUCGACGUCACGGACGUCGACAUAUUUUUAAAAUAAUUUUAUUUAUUUAUUUUUUUUAACUGUAGCACCUUCUUCUUCCUUGGGUCGCCGGACUGGUUUUUCCGGCGGCCGUUUUCCGGGCAGUUUUUCAAAUUGUCAUAACUUUGUCAUUUCUCAACGAAAUCAAGUGAUUCAAAAACGAAAGUUGUAGCCCUUGAAGAGACAAAGAGAAUGGUACCUUGCACAACACCUAGUUCGCCGUGGUUUGGCCGGAAACUGCCUCGAAAGCCUCGGAGGUCGCCGGAAACUGGGUAUUUUUCAAAUGAGUAUAACUUCUUCAAUACUCAACGAAAUUGAGUGAAACAAAAAGGAAAGUUGUAGUACUUGACGAGACGAAGAGAUUGAUACCUACCUCGACUCCUAACUCGCCGGGGAUUCGCCGGAAAAUGCCUCGAAGCUCCGGCCAAACUUUGAACUUGUCGAUCUCCGUGUUCUUACGUCCAAAAACUUCCAACGAAGCACUCCGAGCUUCCUUGGAACCUCACUAAGCUCACUGUGAGCUUGGAUUGUCCUAAAACAAAGUCAAUUCGAAGAUCAUGAACAGUGCACUUUCACGGGGAGUUUAGAAUCUAGGUUUUUCCGAAGUAAAACUUACCUGAAAUUGGUGUCUACGUGAUCGUGGAGUCUCCAGGAGUUCGAUGGUGGUCUUAACUCCGUCGUUGGUAUAGAUUUAGGGUGGUUUUGGAGCUCGUCUGUGUGAGUUUGAAGGAGAGGGAGAGAGACAGAGAAUGAGAGAUUGUGAGGGAGGAGAGAGAGACAGGGUACGGGAAAUAGGGAGGGAUUUGAGGUGUGUGGUCCUACCUAACCCCAAAUCAUAAAAUUCCAUCUCCAAAUAACUUAGAAACAUAUAUUUCACCAAUAUAUGAUUCACAUAUCUUAAUCACGUUUAAGGGAAAUUCCGUCAAUUUACAAUCACGAGUGUAAAACUUUGGGACGGGCUGUGACAUAAAUAUAUCACCCUAAUAAUUUUGGUGCCCCUAAUUUUUCUGGGCCCUGGACGGUCGCCCUGCCUACACUGGGCCUAGGCCGACCCCCUUUCACAAUCCCUGGAGAGCUAGUUCAUUAAUAGACCGAGGAAUAAGUAAAUUGACUCAUUCAUAUAUUUAGAUCAUGAAUGUUUGGAAUCCAUAUUAUGUAAGGAGACAUUGCUUUUGCUAUUAUGAAAUUUAAAAAAAAAAAUGACUAGAUUAGAACUUGCAUAAUCUACGUUUUAUUCAUGGCAUGCGAUUAUUAAUGAUUAAAGCUAAGCUUAAUACUAUGGGAGGUAAAGUAGUGGAAAGCAAAUCCUUGGCACUCAUGGCACUUAUGGAGAAGAUGAAGAAAAGAAACCUAGGUCGUAUUUAUAUACAAACAUGUGACUAAAUUACAGAAAUGAUAACGAGAGAGCAUGUGAUUGUUGACAACCAGUGACAUGAGAAACACACUCUGGGAUCAUAUCCAUCAGAAGCCCAAUUCCAUCCUGUGUAAGAAAGAGAGCAUGAGAACACGAACAUGAAAAAUGAAAGAAUUGUAUUCAGCAUUUUGUCAAGCUAUCAAUUGGUACACAAGCAUUAUGAUGUAAUAAUCAUGUUAAAAUAAAAUAUAAAUAGUAAAACUACACGUCCAAGCUUUAAUCCAAAGAAUUCUCACUUAGUAGUCCAAAGCUAAUUGAUUACCAUUCGGUUGAUCCAGAAACACUCAACCUAUCCAACUAUUUUGCGACGUUACCAAAAACUACUACUACUUUCCAGGUGAAACAUGAAGGGUGAAAAAGCAAACAUGAAUCACUAGAUUUACUACAAAUGAUAUACCGAACAAUCUAACAGUAAAUAUCAACAAGACCAAUCCAACGUUAUCACAAAGCAUAUAUCAAUAAGAAAAAUAUAAAAAUAUUGUUACCUUACUGAAAGCUCCAAUAUUCGGUAAGGUAACAUUGGAGGUCACUAUCAUCUUUCCCGCGAUCAGUGAAUAAAAGCCAAAGAUCUGACUCUUGGAUUCGAGUCAUGGGUUUGGGUCGCAAUUCUCUCGUCGCAUGUUUGAAUACCAAGUUCAUCUUAACAGACUUGGUUUUUUUUAUCAAACAUCUUAACAUAUUUAGGGGUGUGUUCAAUUGGGGAUUUAAGAGAUUUUAAUAGAUUUAUAAAUUUAUAGAUUUAUAUGGAGUUUAAUUGAUUUGUAGAGAUUUCAUGUAAAAUUUUGAUUCAAUUCCCUCGAAAUCUCAUAAGGAGAUGUGAGACUUGAGGAUGUUUAAAAUACACUACGAAAUCUCUCCAAUUGAAUUCCUCAACUUUUUCAAAUUCUUUAAAAUUAAUUUCUAAUUAAAUUCAAUUGAAUGUUGUAAAAUUCUUUAAAAUCGUAAUUGAAUGCAUCCAGAUUUCUAAAUAUUUUAAUAAACUAUCUUAAAAUUCUUAUUUAAUACAUUGAAUUUUAGACAAUUACUUAAAAUUCUUAUUGAAUACCUUUAGAUUCAUUAAAAAAUUUAAAAUUUUUCAAAAUCCCAUUUGAAUACAUCACCCUUAAUAAAUUGUACAUUACAUUAUAUCCCAUUUGAGCACAUUAGCUUAUGCCUCCGGAUUCUGCAUAUCGGGUCGGGUUCCGAAGUUCGAGCUCACAUUUGAUAAUCAAAUUCAUCACAUUUGAUCCAACGGUGGUAAUUGGCAAACCCACCUCGGAGUCAAAAGAUGCGGCCCACGCUCCCUCUCUUUUCCAAAACCCUAGCAAAACCUCGGCCCUAUAAAUACCUUCCACAUCCGCCGCAGGAGGCACCCAAAUGCCCCUUUCUCUUCCCUUUCACACACUAAUCCCUCGCAGAGGCGAUGGGAUUCCCAGUUGCUUCUCCGUCGGAGAAACCUUUCCAACUGCUCCAUCUCUUUGCACCAUCGCCUCUGUUUCUUUUUUAUUUAUUUACUUAAUUAUUUGAGCAAUUUCCUUUAUCCUUGCCAUUCAUAUUUCAGAUUUUCAGCUUGUUUUUUUUUAUCCGAAAAAUAAAAUCGAAGUUGUAUGAGUUUUUUGCAAUUUUGUUGGGUGAGGCCGGUGAUGAUCGAAACAUAUUUUGCCUACAUUGCUUGAUUAUCUUAUUUUAUUGAGAUAAUGAUAAAAUCCGAUGUAUCUGAGGCCUUCCCGGAAGAACGAGCUUUAUUUUAUUUUUUAUUUUUUGGGUAAAAUGUAUUAUUUCAAAUCUUAAUAUUUCAAAAAACUGAAUUUUUAAAUUUCGACUAAAAUGAUGAGUUUUGUUGAUAUUUGCGAUAUAUCACUUAAAUAGUGAAGAAAUUCUUAAUUUCGUCUUAUUAAAUAUGUCAGAUUUUGUUUGAUAUUUUCUCGAUGUCAGAAGUCGAACUUAGAACUCUUAACCAUAAGAAUUGAAUUGAGCUACACUGGAUGCGUUGGAGAAAAUAUUAAUAACUGAAGGAGGAUUUAUGUUAUAACAAAAAUAAAAUAAAAAUGGUAUUCCGGUGCCAGGAUUCGAACCUGGAUGAAAACUCUUAACCAAUAAGACUUUUUGUGGUGAGCUUCACCGGACGACUUGAUAAAUCAUGGCGAAAUAAACUAUUUAAAUGUACUCCUUACGUUGUGCCGUAGAUAAACAAUUAGUGCACAUAAUGUAGUUAUCUGAUUUGUGGGGAAUGGUGAUGCUCACCGCUUAAUGUCGUCGUUGGAUCAGUUUAAGUUUUGAGAUCUGUGAAAUGAAUAAAUACAAAUUUAAAAAUUUAAAUUUAUUUAAUAAUAAUAAGUAUGGUAAUGAGAAAAAAAUGCAUCUUAUGGUUCAGAAACACACUCUCAAAUUUAAAUAACAAUUUUCAUGCUUUCCAACAACACAAAAAUUUUAUAACUAAGAAUCAAUCAAAACAUAAUGAUUGAAUGAGCGAGGAUUUCUUUUAUUUUUUCCAAAUUUUCUGAAGGUUUUUUCUAUAAAAUUUAUGGUGUCAUGAUUGCCUUAAAAGAAUCGUAAAUGUGUUCCUUGAAAAAUAAUAUGAAACCGUAUUUUGAGUUCUUAUGUUUAUUGUUUUAAUUCGAUCUAUCGUUUGAAGCCGCCUCCACCAAAAUAAAUUCAUAUCUAUAUUUUUUCUAUAACGAGUGAUUAAUAAAUCCAACCGUUUUUCAGCACCACAAAAUAAGUUACAACCCGAACACUAACGAGCGAUUAAUGGGUCCAACCGUUUUGCCACAUAUAUAUUUUCUUUUUAUCAAAACAUGCAAAUAUCUUCUUUACCAACUUGAAUCUCCCAUCGUUUGUUUUCUCUUCAUCCACAGAUUUGAUCUGUCUUUUUUGGUGAUCAAACCAAAAUUUUCUUGGACAUGAUUGUACAUACAACCAUUAAUAAACUAUCUCCAACAAAAGCCUAAACAUAGCCUCGUCCAAAAUUAUAGUCUUGCAAAAAAAUAUUUUUUUAAUAAACGAUGUCAAACUAUACUCAUGUACUAUCUUUAACCUGUAUGAAACCUUAAAAUGUAGUGAGCUUCAUCAGUUCAUGUUUAGUGCAAUUAUAUAGAACAAAAUGGUUGUAUUUCAUUUAGGAUUAGGACUUAUAUGUGUGACUUGUAAGGGAUUUAGAGCCACAAAGGAGGGAAACUUGAAGUUACAAUUAUUUGAAUUUGGCGACAGUUAAUCGAAGGAAAUUGCUUGUAACUGCAUCCUUGAUGGGAGGAUGAGUUGCGGAACGUACAUAUAUAUAUAUAUAUAUAUAUAUAUAUAUAUAUCACUUUGAUCUCUCUUCUUAGGUGUGUGUGAUCCCUCACGUAGAAAUAGUCCCAUUGAGUGUUCUUGGAUCAAUUUUGUGACCAAAGGAAGAGAAGAUAUCACAUCCUGGCCCGGGACGGACCACUUCCCGGGCCCACUCCACCACCGUAGCACGAUAUUGUCCGCUUUAGGCCCCGAUUAAGCCUUCACGGUUUUGUUUCUGGAAACUCACGAGCAACUUCUUAGUGGAUCACCCAUCAUGGGAGUGCUCUGCCCACCUUCUCACUUAACUUCGGAGUUCAGACAAAACCCGAAGCCAAUGAUCUCCCAAAAUGGCUCGUGCUAGCUAGGGAUGAGAAUAUACAUUUAAGGAUCACUCCCUUGGACGAUAUGGGAUGUUACAGAAGACAAAUGAUCAAACUUGUUGUCAAUGUCUUCUUCUACAAGUAAGUAAAUUCUCAUUACUUGUUAUAAUCGCUGCAUGCAUAAUGACACAAUAAAUGCAACAAUUAUCAUUCAAUGUUAAGAUUUCUGAACUAGGAUCAUGGUUUAAUUGUUAAUGAUAUAUAUAUCCAAGCAUAACCGAAAUAGCUAAACAUAGCCCCAUAAUAAUUUAUUAUUUUAAACCUUAUACUUUAAAUUAAUUAAUUAAUUUAAUUUAAUUAUCAUUGUAUGUUUUCAAAUUUAGCCGUUUAAUUUGAAUUAAUUGUUGCAACUGAGGAGCUGGAUCCCCAAAAAGGGCUAAGAGGGGUUCUAUAUUUGACCAACUUGAUACCCCUUAGGCUAAUAAUCAUCUGGUGGGCUCCAUAAAAUUAUAGUCUAGUCAUCGGUUGGAAAUAAAUUUUUAGAUAAAUCAAGGUCAUUUUUAGUUUUUAAACCUUUAGUCAUCUCAAUUGAAAAUGACCUUAUGUCUUUAUACGAUGUGCCUCCUAUUUCCAGCUUCAACUCCAACUGAAGGAUGUAAACGUAAUUAUCAUCUAUAGAGAUUCAUCAGAAUUUGAGGGGUUAGAUGACCCCUACUUGCCUCUUAAUGGAUUGGCCUAGGGGUGGGCAAACGGGUAUAGGAACCGCGGGUCGGGGCGGGUACGGACCGGUUCUUAUUUUGUAAAAAUAAAAAUGAGGCGAGGUAGGGCGGGCUUUUGAAAUUUUCGGUUCGGGCUGGUUCCUGAAGUAUGGUAGCGUUUGGUACGUGGGACGGGACGGGACGGAACGGGACGAGCCGUUCCGUCCCACGUUUAGUGCGCCUAAAAACUGUGGAACAGGUUGUUCCAUGGGACAAAAUUUGGCUGAUUUUUCGUUCCACCUCUUCCCCCUGGAACGACCCGUUCCACAUCUGUGGAACACAAAUUUAUAACAUUUUAUGACAAAAUUUCUCCUUAUCUUUUUCAAUAUUUACAUCAUCUGUUCCGUCCUGUUCCAUCUCGUCCCGUCCAGUCCUGUUCCGUCCCGUUCUGUCCCAUCUGCGUACCAAACGGUACCUAUAGGAACCGCGGUUACCCGGACCUGCCCGUUUGUAGUUAGAAUGGACGUAUAAGAUUGAAGAGAUCAUCUCUCCAUCCAAUCUGAAUCGUUGGUUUUAGGUUUGCUCAUCCUCAAACUUAUCGAAUUCAACUGUCACUCUUACUCUGUUGAUCGAGUCUCUCUCGCCGUCUCCAGUGCGUCGUCUCCUUCCCUCCACCACCCCGACAACACGACGGCCCAGACGACCACCAUCUUCUCGAUUUGUCACCUCUCUCUCACCUCUCUCUCGCCAUCUCGAUUUGACAUCCCAAGGACCCAGACUUACAUAACCCAGCCACCCCACCACCCAUCUUCUCGAUUUGUCACCUCUCAUUUGCCGUCUCGAGUGUGUCUUCCCCUCCUUCACCGAGGAGGACGAGAUUCAAAUCCUGCUGGUUUACUCCAAGGAGAUUAACAAGCGCAUGCUCGACACCGUCAAGUCCAGGAACGCCAUUGCUUCCGCUGCUCAAAACGGCGCCAUGGAGUCCGAGACUGUGAGCUCUGCGGUGGAAUGUACCGCUGUUGCCGCCAAUGAAGAUGCUAAGGCUGAAGAGCACAGAUCUCUCCAUGUGUGUUAGGUCACUCUUAGCUUCAUAUUAGCCUAUUAGAGCUUUCAUAUCGAGAUCUGUUCAUAUUUAUCAUGGAUUUCUUGUGAUGCCUAUAUACCUAAUGACCUGUUAAAUAUUUAAACUUUGUUAAUUUCGCUAUGCGCUUCAAUUUUCUGUGGAUUAUAUUAUCUGGGUUUCUGUUGUGAGUAUUGAUCUACUGAGUCUUGAUCUGCUUUGUUCAGAGAUGUUUAUGUUGAAGAUUUUAUAAGGAAGUGGGUGCAUUUGGAAUUGGAAAAUUAUCGAAAUCUUUCCUCUUGCAUUAUUUAGGUUUCCUAUUGCAUAAUCUGCUGCAUUAGUGAAUCUGUGCAAAUUCCAAUUUUUUUUUUUCUAAACAAAAAGAAAACCAAGAACCCGUGGACCCGGCCUGAACCGGCCCAUUUCAACCAGGCCGAGUAAGGUCCAAUUCCUAUAUAAGAAAAUGUAAUCCCCAACUCGGUCCGGCCCAUCUCCUUUGCACCUGGAUCCACCAGUGGCCAUAUGCUAUUGCCCUUUUAUUUUCUUUUUUCUCCUGCCAUGGGCGCAGUCAUGGGUAAGUAGGUAAGUUUGAUUACGCAAUUAAUUGGGCACUCUAGGAGACGCGUAGUGUUAGUGCAGGCUCAAAAGUCAAAAGGUUAAUGAGGAGUGUGGAUGGAAAGCCUGCCCUAAAUACGUUUGUAUUCCUUUGCUGAGUUACUGUACUCUGCCCUUUUCUCCUCUCUUCCUGGAAAAUUCACUCUAUUGAUCUCUGGCCGUGUUUUGCGUGGCAUGAAACAAAACGGUCAAGUAGUGUAUAACAAUUUCAAAAAAAAAGGUCAAAUAGUGUAUAACAAUUUAUCAUAUAGAAAGUUGAUGGUGCUGCAGAUGAUUAAUGAGAGUUUUAACGAAAAACUCACAGCACUGUUUACUUUAACGAAAAGCCACAUUUUUACAUUAAAAAGUCAAACCUAGUACUAUUCAUUUUAUCCUUUAUUUUGUCUUUAACAUUAAAACUCAAAGUUUUCAAACAUUUUUCAUUAGUUUUCCUAUGAUUAAUUGGUGUCCGUAGAAAUUACAUGAUAUCACUCAGACUUUAUCCAACAUAUUAGGCCAUCUCCAACAAAAGUCUAAACAUAGCCCCAUCUAAAAUUAUAUUCUUGUAAAAAAUUAUCUUUUAAUGAAUGAUGUUAGACCAUACUCAUAUAUCAUCUUUAACCGAAAUGGUUAAACACGGCCACUUAAUAAUUUAUUAUUUUAAACCUUAUACUUUAAAUUUAUUGGUUAAUUUAAUUAAACUACCAUUGCAUGUUUUCAAAUUUAGUUGUUUAAUUUGAAUCAAUUAUUGCAACUGAGGAGCUAGAUCCCCAAAAAGGGCUAAGAGAGGGUCUAUAUUUGGUAAGCCUGAUACACUUUUGGCCAAUAAUCGUCUAGUGGGCUCCACAGAAUUAUAAUCUAGUCAUCGGUUGGAGAUGAAUUUUUGAAUAAAUCAGGUAAUUUUUAGUUUUUAAUCCUUUAGUCCUCUUAGUUGAAGAUGACCUUAUGUCUUGCUUUAUAUGAUGUGCCUCCUAUUCCCAGCUUCAACUCCAACUGAAAGAUGUAAACGUAAUUGUCAGCAAAGAGUUAGAAACAUACCCGAAUCCACGUUUUAUAAGCAGAAACUACACUUAUUUGACAUGUUUCCUCAUUUUUUUUACUUGCAAAUUCAAAACCGUCUUGUCGGACCAGUAUAACAAAAUAAUGUUUACGAACAACUGUUAAAACUAAUCACAACAAGUUAAUGCAUAAAGAACUUACGGAUACGGAGGGUGCUAUGAGGCCACCGAAAAGGGUAAACCCCGCAAUAAAUGAAUUCACCUUGUGAUUAAUACUUUGCACAACUUUUUAUGAACCGACAAAAGGCUACAACAAAUUAUGGCUAAAACAGGUCGGGGAUAUGAAAAUAAAUGUCUUCACAGGGUCAGCAGCUUACCAGGGGAGGCAAAAAUGGAAUGAAUGAUGGAAAACUUGAUCUUCAUUUACCGCUCCAAGCUCUGCGCGUUUAAUCCGCUGUUGUAUCCUCAGCCUGCGAACCUACGCAUAUCGAAGCUCAUUCUUAAAGAACACAUUUCUAAUGGCAAUUGGAGAGUAAUUUAAAACAUGCUAAACUGAGAAAGUGGUAGCAACAAGCAAUUGCUCUCACCUCCUCCAUAUGCAAGAAAAUUUUGUUGCGACGACUCCGAAUAUUAUCUUGAAUUUCCUGCAGCUCCAUUGUCGCAAGGUCCUGCACUGUUUCAGGCCCCUCUAUGAUACAAAAUCUGCACAAUUAAGCAUGUAAAAACAAAAAUUUACAGGCUACAAAGCAAUUUCCAUAAUUUUUGGGUUAAUUAACAUCAACAGCAGAUAAAUCACAUGGGUUUUUCACAUAAAGUUACAAACUUUCAAAGACCAGUAAGCUGUCUGCAAUCUCAUAAAUUUCACAGUGCAAAGUAACAAUCCAAAGCUUGGAAAAUUUUCAUUUUCUGUUAAUUUCCUAGAGAGAGAGAGGGGGGAGUACCCGGCGGGGUUUGUAUCGGCGGCGGGAUUGGGAUCAGAAUCGACAGACGGAGCGAAAGAGGAGGAGUCGGGCUCCGAAGCCAUGGCCAGGGAUCACCAUCUGGAGCUGCUUGUUGAUAUGGGGCUUCUUGGGUAGCUGAAUUUGGAGCAGCCGGAGCUACGCAGUUUGUACGGACAGCACCGAUUUACGGGGAAAGAAACGGCAAAAAGUCUGCCGGAGCAGAGCAUCUCUCUCUCUCAAACCAGAAGGCAGAGCUUUCUGUUUCUCUACAGGUUUCUUUCACUGGUAAAUUCCGGAGAAGCAGAGAAGAAGGGUCAAAGGGCCAUGUAUAGUUUUAUAGUCAUACAAAAAAUUAUAUUUUAAUAAAAAAUGUAAGGCCAUAUUUUAUUAGGAAAAUUAAUGAAAAGGCUUGAAAACUUUGAGUUUUAAUGAUAAGGACAAAAUAAAGGGUAAAGUGAAUAGUACCAUGAUUGACUUUUUAGUGUAAAAAUGUGGUUUUUGGUUAAAGUAAACAGUACCAGGUGCUUUUCGUUAAAGUUCCCUAUUUUAUUCCAUAUCCAACUUAGUGGGCCAAUGGACCGUAGGCCAAACAUAGUCAUUUGACAAAAAUCUUAUCUCUAACCGAGAGAGCUAAAGGACCGUAGGCCGAAUAUAACUCCUUAAUAAUUUACUUUUAACGAGUGACUCAAUUAACUAUUUUCAUUUCUUACACGUUCAAAAUUAGACAAAUUCUUUGCAUACAUAAAAAAAAUAUAUAUAUAUUAAGGAGAGAGUAUUAAACUAUUACAUUACGGGUUUCGAACUCGCGAGAACCCUAAUGCCUCUCCACUAGGAUAUUAGACCAGUAAAUUAAAAAGAAAUAUUUAUAGAGGGCUGGAACCAGUCGAAGCUGGGGGGCUAGGCCCUCACGCCCAUAUUAUAUUACUUGAAAAAAAAACAUACAACAAGGAGGACAUAGUACUGAAACCCUGACAAUCAAAAGCAAAAUCAUAUACGACCACUCCAAGCAGUCAACAUAACCAUCACAUAUUGAAUCCAAAAGGUUGACGACCCAUUCGCUGCAUAUAAUGUACAGAAGAUAACAAAUUUUGAAGUGAUGCUCCAAGUAUGAUAUUGGGCAGAAAAGAGCGGCGGCUUCAACCACUUCUUCAGCUAUAUCCGGCUGGGUGAGAGCAGCUAAAGACAUGAUUGUUCCCUAAGAACAUGAAUACAUUGAGUAAACACCAAAAGUAACUGCUAGGGAAGGAGAUUUGAAGUAGAUUAAGAGGUUUAAUACCUGUGAAUGUCCAACAACAAAGACGUUGGAGCUUGUUGAAUACAUGCAGCGCAUCAUUUCUGAUAGAUCAAAUCGAGCCAAUUCCUGCCAACUCCAAUCCCAAAAAUCCUACAGUAAAGCAUAAAUCUUGUUCUUUUCUGAUAAAGAUGUGUCCCUGACUCCAACGUGUUUGACGCACAUUUUCUACCCAUACAUCGAAACCUUCAUCUGCUGGAGAAUUUAAGAAUCAUGCAUCACCUGGUUAAGAUCAAGAAAAGCCAGUAACCAAUUUCAAUUGAGUUUGAAGCACAUUAGAGCCCAAUUUAAAAUGUAUCCGAUGGAUGUUCAUCACUUCACACAAUAGUUAGUUUCAAGAAAGGAAAUUUCAACGCAACCUGAAAACUUCAGAUCAGGGGGCACCAAAUAGUGAGCUAUACAUUCAAAUUUUGAAAUAAUCAACGCACAAUAUGUUGAAAAAAGUUGGAAGGAGCUAUGAAAGUAAGGCUUUUCACUAAUCAGGCGUCCAGAGAAUCAAUAUUUUUACUCACGGAUCAGUUAGGGCGAACACUCCCCACCAAAGCAAUCUCAUUAGUACUUCACAUCUCAAACCAAACAGAAAUUGCAGUAACAAACAUGACAUCUAUUAGUCCUUCACAUCUCAAAUCCAGUAAGUACCCAUCUUUCGUCAGAAUCUGGAAAACAAGCAGCAGUGGAUUUAACAAUCUGGGUAUCUCAAAGUUACUCACUUUAAUCACAACAUAUAAAUGGGCAUUUUCUAGUGAAAUGUUAGUGUAGUACUCACUGUGUUGCUCCGAGCAAGAGUACCCAGAAAGCUCGAUGAGCUGAGCACAGAGGGACUGCAGUGGUGAAACGGCGACCGAUUCUGUAAAAUUCAGUCCGGUUUUGGGUGAUUUCUGAGGCUGAUAAGGAAAGCUGGGACGGAAGGGCACAAGUCUGGAAGAAAGGCUCUGGUCACCAUUGUCGCGAUUCGUGGAGGAAGAAGUGCCCCAAAACAAUUUCAGUCCUGAACAGGUGCACCGUUUGCACUGGGCCAGGGCCGACCCUGAAUCGCUAUAGCGUCCUUCUCCAAACAGUAUAUAUACAGAUGCUAGAAAUAUCUACCAGAACCAUUCAAAUCUAGCAUCUACAGCUUUAGCAUUUAGUUGGUACAAGGUACACUCUUCCGAAGGGAGAUGAAAUCAUUGAGGCUCUUAUAUAUUCCUCCUCUUGAUGUGCCCCUGUAGACUGCUAAUUCCAGACGAUCCAAUCUCAUACAUGUUCCCUGCAAAAGCAUGCGUGCCAGACUUCAAGAUCAAACUCGUUAGCGGAAUAAAUGGUGCACAAAGGGAUUUAAAAUCUUGACAUAUGUGUAUUUUUGGCAGAUUUUAUGCGAGCAUGCAACUAAAACUGGCAUCACUAUCAAUGGUGCACAAAGAUCGGCAGAAAAAACGUAAAGAGAAGCAAUCACAACGCAAAAUGUACGAAGUAAUCUGUCCACGUAUUGGGAAAACAUUAACACUGGAUGAGGGGAAUAAACAUGGAAUUUUGAUAAAAGUCAGAAUUUAUAAAUUGACAUGCAGUAAUUUUCUUGUUUGGAUUUAUAAACAUAUAAAUUUAGAAUUUCCGCGUGGGAAAAACAAAACUUGGAACUUAUGACCUCCAAUUCUCAAGUUUAAAUUUCAUGUAAAUAUGUGUCAUUUCUAAAUUUCCAUGAGAGAGUUUAAAGAUAACAAAUACUGUUAUUUCAAUUUCUAUCAUUUUAAAAUUUCUUAGUAAUCUUAAAUUUCCUCUUCCAAACAGAGUGUAACAGUUUGUAACUUCUCCAUUGUAUUUGUUCAACUAUGCAAUUUUCUGUAAAACUUAAAAGGCUGCUUAGCAUCUCUUGUUCGUUGUAUUGAAUACCAUGGUUUUACCGAUGAAUGCAAAGUUUGCUGAUGAUUCAUACGACAAGCAAUUGAAAAUCCCAUUAUUAUGCCCCACAUCAUUUACACAAAUUCAGAGGGCUCAUCCACUGUAAUUUGCAGGUACAGAAAUGUUAUGAUUAAAGGAAAUGCAAACUACCUUUCACCCAGAUUGGAGGAGCACCGGUGGCAUUAGCAAGUGAGCAACAGGAAUUGACAUACCAAUAUCUUCACAGUUUCCGCACAAGCACAAAUCAAAAGAAUCCGGCGGCGGAGUUAUGUACCUCUUCUUGGAAAAAGACACCUCUUGGGAUUUCAUAAAAUCCGGCUGUGCCUAGACGUCUGACCACGCCAAUUCCACCAAAGCUGCUGCAACGCGGCGUAGUGUCCGAUUGAUUGCUUCAAAACAGAGCUUCGUAUCCAUGUGUUUAUAAGCACAGAGUACCCAAAACCCCAGAAAAUUAUUUCUUUAUUCAGAUAAUAAAAUUUCGCAAAUUUCGAAUUUUAAUUCCGAACCAAAAAUAGGGUUUGAAUUUUGAUUACCUAGAAAUUGGGGGUUGGGGUGGAGAGGGACUGAGGCCAAGACGCAGCUAUGUGUCCGUGAUCAGGUGUGCCAAUUUACAGAGGGUGUCGGGAAGAUGCACAAGGCUUUUGCAGUUUCUCAGAUUUAAAUACUGAAGCCCCGUAAGGCGUUCAAUCCAGGGGGAAAGCUCUUUGAUAGAUGUUCCAUCCAAGAAAAGCGCUCUUAAUCCUUCCAUAUUUUCUUCAAUGCUUGGAAACACCUCAAACUUUGUACAACCGGAAAGAGAGAGAUAGACCAGGGACUUGAGCUGACAAAUGCUGCUUGGAAGACCCUUAAGUUCCUUGCAAUCAUCUAGCUUUAAAUAACUCAAUCCCGUGAGAUUAUUAAUUGACGAGGGCAGUUCUUUAAUUUUUGACCCGGAAAAAUAAAGAACUUUUAACCCCUCAAUCACUUCUGAAAUCUCUGGAAACAUCUCUAGACUCGAGCAACCAGAAAGAUUAAGAGUUUUGAGAGAUUUCAUACGAAUGCUGCUUGGAAGACACUUAAGUUCCUUGCAAUCAUCUAGGAGCAAAUGACUCAACCCCGUGAGGUUAUUAAUUGACAGGGGUAGUUCUUUAAUUUUUGACCCGGAUAACUCAAGCUCUUCUAACCCCUCAAUCACUUCUGAAAUCUCUGGAAACAUCUCUAGACUCGAGCAUCCAGAAAGAUUAACGGCUUUGAGAGAUUUCACAAGAAUGCUGCUUGAAAGACACUUAAGUUCCUCGCAAUGAUCCAAGCUUAAAUAACUCAACCCAGUGAGAUUAUUAAUUGACGAGGGCAAUUCUUUAAUUUUUGACCCGGAUAAAUCAAGAAAUUCUAACCCCUCGAUCACUUCUGAAAUCUCUGGAAACAUCUCUAGACUCGAGCAACCAGAAAGAUUAAGCACUUUGAGAGAUUUCAUACGAAUGCUGCUUGGAAGACACUUAAGUUCCUUGCAAUCAUCUAGGUGCAAAUGACUCAACCCCGUGAGGUUAUUAAUUGACGGGGGUAGUUCUUUAAUUUUUGACCCGGAUAACUCAAGCUCUUCUAACCCCUCAAUCACUUCUGAAAUCUCUGGAAACAUCUCUAGACUCGAGCAGCCAGAAAGAUUAAGGGUUGUGAGAGAUUUCAUACGAAUGCUGCUUGGAAGACACUUAAGUUCCUCGCAAUUAUCUAGGCUUAAAUAACUCAAACCACUGAGAUUAUUAAUUGAUGGGGGCAAUUCUUUAAUUUUUGACCCGGAUAAAUCAAGAACUUCUAACCCCUCAAUCACUUCUGAAAUCUCUGGAAACUUCUCAAGACUCAGGCAGCCAGAAAGAAAGGAAUUUAAGAGAUUUCAUACGAAUGCUACUUGGAAGACACUUAAGUUCCUUGCAAUCAUCUAGGAUCAAACGACUCAACCCCGUGAGGUUAUUAAUUGACGAUGGCAGUUCUUUAAUUUUUGACCUAGAUAAAUCAAGCUGUUCUAACCCCUCAAUCACUUGUAAAAUCUCUGGAAACAUCUCAAGACUCCAGCAGCCAGAAAGAUUAAAGGUUUUGAGAGAUUUGAUACGAAUGUUGCUUGGAAGACUCUUAAGUUCCUUGCAAUUUUCUAGGUUCAAAUGACUCAACCCCGUGAGAUUAUUAAUUGACGAGGACAGUUCUUUAAUUUUUGACUUGGAUAAAUCAAGCUCUUCUAACUCCUCCAUACCUUCUAAAAUCUCUGGAAACAUCUCAAGACUGGAGCAGCCAGAAAGAUUAAAGGUUUUGAGAGAUUUCAUACGAAUGCUGCUGGGUAGAAUCUUAAGUUUCUCGCACCCUUUCAGAUUCAAUAAAACAAGGUUUCUAAGAGUCCUAAUAGACUGGUGAACCUCAACUAAGCUUCUACAACCUUGAAGAAUUAGCCUCUCAAGAUUUGGCACAUUUGUGAAGUCAGGGGUUUCCUCAAGGUAUUGACAAUAACUUAAAUUGAUGACUUCCAACUUUUCCAGCGUCUGUUAAAACAUUUAGGAAAGCAUGCAUUACUUAAUAAGACAUCUCACUCAAAACCCAAACAUUUAAAAGAAACAAAUACAUGUAAAUGAUUGUACAUACCUGGGUUCCUUCCCAAAGUCGGUCAAUGAGACUAAAUUGCAUGUCAAGUUCAACAAGAUUUUUGAAUUGAAAGUUGGAUAGCAAAGACUUGAGAGGGAAUCCAAACCAGGAGAGAUACCUCAAGUUAAGUAACUUAAAGGGCCCAAUCAAGUGGUGUUUGCAGUAAUCAUGUUUAGAAAUGGAGUCCUUAUGACUGAUCUUGAUAAGUCUUAGUUGAUUCAUGCUAACAAAAGCUUCAGCAUUUAAGCAUACCCAGUCUGAGUACGAGAAAUCCACGAUUAUGCUUUCAACUGAUUUUGUAGCCUGUGUAAAUCAAAGUAAGGGAAAAUACAGAGAACCUUAGUUUAGAUUAUGAAACUAAUACUUGUUUCUUAAGGAGCCGUUUGAUAAUCAUUUUGUUUUUAGUUUAAUUGUUUUCAAUUUUCAAUUAUUAAAACAAUAAACACUAAAGGUUGUACCCAGUGCACAAGGCUCCCGCUUUACGCAGGGUCUGGGAGAGAUGAAUGUUGGCUAGCCUUACCCCCAUUUAUGGAGAGGCUGCUUCCAAGUCUCGAACCCGAGACCUACCGCUCAUGGGCGAAGGCACUUGUCAUCACACCAAGUGCGACCUCUUAUUAAAACAAUAAACACUAAAAAUUAAAAAUUAAAAACAAAAAUACUUAUCAAACGGACCUAAGAAAUUGAUUUUGAUCAAAAGUUGAAACUUUUUAUUGACAAUAAGAAAAAGAUUUCUCACCGUAUUUUGAGAUAGCACGUGAUGAACAUCUUCAUAACUACACAACCUACUUCGUCUCCCAGGCUCUUUGAUACAUUCUUGGCGGACGAUUUCCCGACCCAUUUCCUCUAAUGAAUCAUGCAUCUCCAGUUCCCCCUCCCCUGAGACAGUUAUGAGAGCUCGAUCGAUUAGAACUCUUAUUCCAGUAUAAGGAUGGAAACCACAAACUUCCAGAAUUCGGGUUGCACAGUCUUUCUUCAUCCCUUUAAAGAAACAUGCAAUGUCCAGAAAGAUGUCCUUCUCCUUGUCAUCUAGUCCAUCGAAGCUUGAUUUAAGCACAUCAUGAAUUCCCCUUCGUGGGAUUUUCCUUAUUUUUUCUAACUCAUCUUCCCACUCGCGUAUAGUUUUGUUACCAAGAAAAGCUCCCAAGACUUUGUGUGCUAAAGGCAGGCCUUGAGCAUAUUCUACGACAUGAUUCGAGAGAUCAUCAUAAUCUCUGGUAGGUUGGUUUUUUCUGAAGGCGUGCCGCCUAAAGAGUUUCAGAGCUCCAGAAUCACUCAAAAUCUUGGGAUUAUAUAUCACAUCAGCUAUGCUUAGUAAUUGCGAAUCUCUAGUUGUUAUAAUAAUUCUGCUUCCACAACCAAAGGAAUGUGGCUCUUCAAGUAAAGCUUCAAUUUGUUCUAAUUCGUCCACAUCAUCAACAACAAUAAGAACUUUUCUCUGACCAAGGCUUUUUAACAUCACCUGAAAACCAUUUUUUGAUAUGUCAGAACUCCCCACCUUGUUGUUCGAGAUAUUCGAUAGAAGUUGUGCCUGCAUAUGUAGUUUGCCAUGCUUCAUGAAACCUUCCUUGAAAUUUUCAAGAAAGCAACAAGCUUCAAAUCGAUUAGCGAUUUUAUCAUAAACAGCUCUAGCGAUGGUUGUUUUGCCUAAACCACCCAUACCCCAUAUUCCAACAACGCGAACAUUAUUCGUUUCACCUCCGGGAGGAUAUAAUAAUAAAUGCAUUUCAUGCAUGUGAGAAUCCAUGUCAACCAAGCCAUUAUCUUUGCUUGAUGUUGAUGAGAUGUCGAUCAAUUUCCUAUAAACAUCUUCUACAAUUUCCUCAAUAAGCACCGCAUCAUUUCUGUCAAAUUUAAAAAACAAUAUAAUAACACCACCAAAUGAUAAUUAAUGGGUCUUUUUCAUCUGUUAGUUUUCAAAAAAAUAGAAAUUAAAACUAAAAACUAAAUAUUUAUCAAAUUACCCCUAAACGUUACAAAAAUCCCAAAAAUUACUAGGAAACUAAAACAAAUUAGAAUUUACUCAUAGUUUCGCGAAUCCCAGCCGGCUAAACUGGUGGCAGUUGUAAGAGCGGAUCUCCAGCUCCGAACCUCCUCUAUUUCGGCGUUAGAAUCGAUAUCGUGCUGAGCAAAAGCUUCCGCGAAACUUUUCUUGAGUUUACGAACAUCAGACGGAUCAACUUCAUAGAAAAUGGGGAGUACAAUCUGGUUAUUGGUACCUUGCAUUCCAGGAUUUGCACGAGUUCCUUCAAGCACCAAGUGGAAGAAGCAUAGUUUUGAGAGAAAACUACAAUCGAAAGCCUCGACUCUUGAAUCGCUGUCAGGAGCUCGGAAAGGUGGUCGCCUUUUCUGAACUUUUCGGCAUCAAUGAAGGCGUUGAUUGGUUUCUUAGCCAGAGCGUUGUAGAGAUGGCUGACGAAGCCCCUGCGAGUGUCUUCCCCUCUGAAAUUGAUGAACACAUCGUAUUUCCAACCAAAGCCAGAAGAAGAAAAAGAAGAAGAAGAAGAAGCAACCAUUUAUCGAUCGCACCUGGUCACCGAUGAUCGAGCAGUUAUGACUAAGAGAAUUGUAAGUACAUAAAUACUCAAUGAGUCAAUGCAAAAGGGAAAAAGCGAAAAGGAAAUGGUUGUGAUAUCCAUACUUUAUUUUACUUUUUUAUACAUUUUUGAUAAUUUAUUUUUGUUAAUUUUUUUUAAUUCAUCUAGUUUUACAUUUAAAAAUUAAAAAAAUUUAUGAGAAGUUGAAAUGUGUGAAUAUCACGUCCAAAGGAAAAUUAUGCUUUUAUGUGUUUUCAGAUCUUCUUCAGGGAAAUUUCGAUGGGAAUGGAAUCUGCAUGCUUUUGAUUUUUAACCCAAGAAAAUGCCAAGAAAGGGGUCAAAGUAGUAAAUUUAAUCUACACUUGCCUACCCAACCACCUCUUAAUUUAAUAUAUUUAAUCGAGAAAAGUAGGUUAGAGGAAGGAUGGUAUCUCCUUUUCCUCUCUCAGUCUUCCAGCAUGCCAUUUAAUCAUGAUUAAGGCUAAAGCUUAAUUAUAGAUCUUGAUUGGAUUAUUAGUUUCCGUUGUAAUAUGGUGGUUAGAAGAUUAAAAAAAUUAUGAUUUAUGCUUUCAUAUGCUAACAAUUAAUGAAGAAUUAACAAAAUUUUAAAUUUUAAAUCUAAAUCCUAACAUAUUUUACCAUAGAAGCUUAAAUCUUAAUUUACUUAUCACAUGGAUUAUUUUAUAACUACCUUACUAUUAAUUCAAUUAAACCUAUUAUUUCUACGAAAACUAAAGAAAAGUUAAAAAAAAACUUUAGUUUUAAUGAAAAAAGAAAAAUGAAUGUGUAGUAAAUAAUACCAGAAAAAAAUAAAAAAAAUAAUUUUUUAUUAAAAAUAAACAGUAUAAAAAAUGUUGCAUUAAUACUCUCAUUAUUUAUUUACAAAUACGUGACUAAAUCACAAAGUGUUAGAAUGAAAGGGAGCGCUCAAAACGAUGAAAAGCAGGAGCACAGAAAGCUAUCUCCGUUUCUUUGUUGAGCGGACAACUGUUUAUUUGUCGUUCUUUUGGCAGAUAGCUCCUAAUGGCCCAUUUCCACAGCUGGUUAUAGGAUUCUGUUGCUAUAUAAGAAGUGUUUUGUUGUAAUUCAAUAUCGAUGGAAAUUCAACAGGAUCUUUUUCAAAAUUUUGUGAGGAUUUUGGGGUGUUCGUGAAUCUUGUUCAUCGUAUAUUGUGUAGUUGUUUUUUAUCGAAUAUUAUUUUUGUUUAAUUUUAAAUAAAGUAAUUUAAAAUAAUUUUUUACUGCAAGAUGUAUGAUGAACGUAUAUGAUUCACAGAUCUCCAAAAUCCUCACAAAGAAAAUCCAAAAAUGAUCUGAAUUCAAUGGAGAUAAGUUAAUUUUGAAUCAAAUAACAUUAGGAAAGAAAAAUAACAUUAGACGCCAGUCGGGCGAAGGAUUGGAGCCUAGUGCCUAGGCAGCUAGGCGAAGCCUGGGCGAUUAGGCGGCUAGGCGGCCUAGACGGUUUUAAAUAAUUUAUUGUAUAUUUGUAUAAAAUUAUUAUUAGCACUUCAAAAAUCUCAUUUUAUACUCCAAAUUUUCUAUAUUAAAAAAGAAAAAUACACUUAUGAUGAGUGUAGAAUGAGAUUUUUGAAAUGCCAAUACACUUCUCUAUUUUUAUUAUAUAAAUCAGUUGGACUUAAAAAAGAAAAUAAAGAAAAUAAAACAUUGUUCAAAAACUAAAACUCUAUAAAUAUAAAAAGUCAGGUCUUGAUUUAUCAUUACAAUUGAUAAAUAAAGGAGUGUGCUAUCUACACAACUUUUUUUACUUCUCACUCCUAAAUAAAAAAAUGAUGUGUGGAUAUCACAUCCCUAAAUAAAAUAUAUAAAUAUAGAUAGUUGGAGGAUAUCCAAGAGACAUUCUUUGGAGGAUUUUAGAGAAGAAAGGAGUACGAGUAUAUAUCCAAGCUAUAAAGGAUAUGUAUGAAGGAGCAAAGACUGCCGUAAGAACUCAUGAAGGACAAACCGAAAGCUUUCCCAUAACUGUAGGAUUACAUCAAGGCUCAUCCUUAAGUCCUUACCUUUUUGCGUUGGUAAUGGAUAAGUUAACAGGACAUAUUCAAGAUGAUAUUCCUUGGUGUAUGCUUUUCGCAGACGAUAUAGUGUUGAUAGAUGAAACUCAGGAAGGGGUAAAUGCAAAGCUUAACCUUUGAAGAGAAGUGUUGGAAUCUAAAGGUCUUCGCCUAAGCCGAUCAAAGACAGAAUAUAUGGAGUGCAAGUUCAGUACAAAUGAAGGCCAAAACGAGUUAGGGGUGAGGAUCGGAGAUCAAGAAAUACCAAAGAGCAACCGUUUUCGUUACCUAUGAUCUAUCUUGCAAAAGAACGGAGAAUUAGAUGGAGAUCUCAAUCAUAGAAUGCAAGCUGGAUGGGUGAAGUGGAAGAGUGCAUCCGGCGUGUUGUGUGACCGCCGUAUGCCACUGAAGCUCAAGGGAAAAUUUUAUAGGACGGCAAUAAGGCCGGUGAUGCUGUAUGGCACAGAAUGUUGGGCAGUGAAGCAUCAACACGUACACAAAAUGGGUGUAGCGAAGAUGAGGAUGCUUCGUUGGAUGUGUGGGCACACGAGAAAGGAUAAGAUUAGGAAUGAGGAUCCGGGGUAAAGUAGGAGUAGCCGAAAUUGAAGGAAAGAUGAGAGAAAAUCGGUUACGGUGGUUUGGACAUGUGCAAAGAAGGCCUACUGACGCUCCGAUUAGAAUAUGCGACUAUGGGACAGAGGUUCAGGGCCGAAGGGGUAGAGGAAGACCUAGGAAAACUUUGGAAGAGACUUUAGGAAAAGACUUAGAGUACUUGGAUCUAACGAAGGACAUGACACAGGACCGAGCACAAUGGCGUUCUAAGAUUCAUAUAGCCGAUCCCACUCAGUGACUUGGAUUUUCCAAGUCUCCAACCGAGAAGUUUUCCUCACUCGGGAAAUUAAGGGAACACUACCUCAACCUACAUGCUCCACUCACAAAGCUUCAACAAAAGAAAAUUCAAAGAACUUAGCGAAGAAUGAUUUGGUGUAUUUAACACAAACGUUGAAAUGAAGGAAAGCUUAUUUAUUGAUAUUCCCGAUAAGCUACAAAUAUGUACAUAUACAUAAGGUUGCUUAGGAGAAGUCUCAGCAGCCGGUAGAGCCCCAGAAAGAGAAGGCACCAGAGGGGGAUCAUUCGGAGCCUCAGAACUGGACAGAACCCUAGAAGGAUGAGGCAUCAAAGGUUGAUCAUUUGGAGCUUCAUUACGCGGUACAGCCCCAGAAGAUGAAGGCAAUAAAUGCCUUUGGAACAAACCCACAAAUCUCUGAUGAUCAAGUAAAACCUGACCAUCAGAUUCCUUCAUCUGGUCAAGCUUCCUCUUCAUGUUUGUAGCAUAGUCAUGUGCGAGCCGGUGCAACUGUUUAUUCUCAUGCUUGAGCCAUCUAAUCUCCUGUUUGAGACUCAUCACUUUAGCCGCCAAUGAUUCAACUUGGCGGGUUCAAGCAAAUAGGCGUUGGGCCGUAUUAGACACAGAACCUGCACACUGAACACUGAGAGCCAGCGAAUCCUUAACAGCUAACUCAUCAGACCGUUUGGAAAGUAGUUUGUUAUCUUUGGGAGUGAGAAGGUUCCUGGCCAUCACCGCAGCGGUCAUAUCAUUCUUCAUUACGAAAUCCCCAACGGUAAGAGGACCAGUAGGGGAGACGAAGGAUGUGCGCCAUAUGUUGUCUGGAGAAGGCGGGGCUGCCUCUUUAACAAGGUUCAAGUCAAAACGACGGUCGGAGGGGCCAGACAUUUUCAAAGGUGUUGAAGAGAGAAGAUGUCGGAUAAAUCAAGAUCUUAGAAGUGCAAGAAUGGAGCUUCUACUGGUGGAUUUCAAGUGUGCUUUAGAACUUAAUGACAGCCCCUAUAAAAAUCUGCACUCGACGGAGCUUCAGAAAUCGAAGAGGCGUUUGCUUUCUCAAAAGUUGGGCUGCUCAAAGACCACGAAGGCCAAUCUCAGAAAUCGAAGAGGCGCUCGCUUUCUCAAAAGCUGGGCUACUCAGAGACCACGAGGGCCGAUCUCAGAAAUCGAAGAGGCACCUACUUUUCCAGCCUUGUCAGCACCUGUCACACGCACACUCAGCUUUGCGGAAAUUAUGGGCAUUCUGUCGAAGACUUCUGGUGAAGUAAAAAGCACAUGAAUCUUACUGUUCAAUCACCCACUUCCCACACGCAACAAUAGCUCAUGGGUACCACAGAUAACUUUGCCAAAGUUGAGCACGUGAAGCUUGCAGCUCCUACUACAUCGCUCUGACCAAGAAGGGUAAAAGAAUAGCAAAGAAACAGCACUAACAAAGUUUAGACCCAUAAAUUUUGAAGGUCUAGCUACCAUAUUAUUACCCACAAGGGUAAAGGAACAGUACCACUGCUGGAUAAUUGGAAAGUCCCUGUGUGUCAACCUCUGUGCUUCGUGGCAAGGUAGACUAGCAAACAUGCCCAACCUUUACUCACAUUCGAGAAAACACUCCCAAUAAGAUUGCUUGCUCCAAAAUCGAAGAGGCACCGUCCUCCGAAUCUCGAGAGCCAGACUCCCAACAUGAAUACUUUCUCAAAAAAAUCGAAGAGAGGGUAAAGGAACAGUACCAUUGCUGGAUAAUUGGAAAGUCCCUGUGUGUCAACCUCUGUGCUUCGUGGCAAGGUAGACUAGCAAACAUGCCCAACCUUUACUCACAUUCGAGAAAACACUCCCAACAAGAUUGCUUGCUCCAAAAUCGAAGAGGCACCGCCCUCCGAAUCUCGAGAGCCAGACUCCCAACAUGAUUACUUUCUCAAAAAUCGAAGAGACACUGCUAUCCCGAAUCUCGAGAGCCAGACCCCCAGCAUGAUUGCUUUCUCAAAAAUCGAAGAGGCAUCGUUCUCCGAAUCAAUCGAAGAGGCGCUCGCUUUCUCAAAAGCUGGUGGGCUGCUCAGAGACCACGAGGGCCGAUCUCAGAAAUCGAAGAGGCACCUACUUUUCUAGCCUUGUCAGCACCUGUCACACGCACACUCAGCUUUGCAGAAAUUAUGGGCAUUCUGUCGAAGACUUCUGGUGAAGUAGAAAGCACAUGAAUCUUACUGUUCAAUCACCCACUUCCCCACACGCAACAAUAGCUCAUGGGUACCACAGAUAACUUUGCCAAAGUUCUCUGCCAAAGUUGAGCACGUGAAGCUUGCAGCUCCCACUACAUCGCUCUGACCAAGAAAGGUAAAAGAAUAGCAAAGAAACAGCACUAACAAAGUUUAGACACAUAAAUUUUGAAGGUCUAGCUACCAUAUUAUUACCCACAAGGGUAAAGGAACAGUACCACUGCUGGAUAAUUGGAAAGUCCCUGUGUGUCAACCUCUGUGCUUCGUGGCAAGGUAGACUAGCAAACAUGCCCAACCUUUACUCACAUUCGAGAAAAACACUCCCAACAAGAUUGCUUGCUCCAAAAUCGAAGAGGCACCGUCCUCCGAAUCUCGAGAGCCAGACUCCCAACAUGACUACUUUCUCAAAAAUCGAAAAGGGUAAAGGAACAGUACCAUUGCUGGAUAAUUGGAAAGUCCCUGUGUGUCAACCUUUGUGCUUCGUGGCAAGGUAGACUAGCAAACAUGCCCAACCUUUACUCACAUUCGAGAAAACACUCCCAACAAGAUUGCUUGCUCCAAAAUCGAAGAGGCACCGCCCUCCGAAUCUCGAGAGCCAGACUCCCAACAUGAUUACUUUCUCAAAAAUCGAAGAGACACCGCUCUCCGAAUCUCGAGAGCCAGACCCCCAGCAUGAUUGCUUUCUAAAAAAUCGAAGAGGCAUCAUUCUCCGAAUCUCGAGAGCCAGAUCAUCAAUAGGAUUGCUUGUUCGAAAACCGAAGAGGCACCACUUUCCCAACUUCAAGAGCCGGAUCUCCUUGGAUAAAGCUUGUCUAUAAUCUUCACACGGAACAUCAGCUUUCCAGAUACCACAGACCACUUUUUCAAAGUGCUCUGACAGAGUUAAAACAUGUGAAGCUGGCAGGUCCCACUACCGUGCUAUGACUAAGCAGGGUAAAGGAAUAGCAUUACUACUUGUUGUUAGGGAGACUCCUAUAUAUGUCGACCUCCAUCCCCAACGACAGGCAGACCUGCAAAAAUGCUCAACCCUUCCUCAUAUCUGAGAGGCCACUCCCAACGAAGCCUUUCAAAAUAUUCAGCUUUCUUCCCCCUCCCCGAUAAUACCUCUGCAAACAAGCUAUACUAGAGCAAGAAUAUCUCAUAUCAUCAGGGUUAAAAGCAAGAGUAUCCCAUAUCAUGCUUUUUCCCUGUCUUUUCCUUUGGCCUUGUUUUUACCUGCAAGACAAGGAGAAAGAGAGCAAUCAGUCAGCACUUGGAAUCAAGCUUCCAGCCAGGAACUGACUGCCUGGAACCCCUUACCUGAUUACUUACCUGGCAUUGCUCUCGAGUACUCAUCUUCAACAUCUUAUGUUUCCAGGGAAGAUUACCGCAUCUGCCUUGAGGAACAGAUAGGGCAAGUGCGAAGGAUACAAGGAAGCAUGUGGAGACAAGCGUAACAGCACACGUGCCGAUACAUCCAUUACUCUGUCAAAAGCAAAAGUAUCCCAUAUCAGCAGGGUCGAACGUACUCUAGAUUUGAUGGACUUGUUUUGACCCUCAAAUUCUUCAGUCGGCCUUAUACUCUGGAGGAAACCAGAAAACCCUCCAGCUCAGUUCAAGAAUAAGCCUGUGGAAAGUUACUUCUUCAAAAGCAAAAGUAUCUCAUAUCAUCUCUUCUCAUUUUUCUUCUCUUUAUCCUUCAUGCUGCCUGCAAGAUGGGGAGAAGGUGAACAAUCAGCCGGAGCUCUGAUUGCUUACCUUGUCUGUCACCUCUUUCAGCAGAUCCCCUAGCUCGGCGACUUGGGGGACUCCUACUACAUGGUUUGUAUCGCGCUUGACCAAGCCUGAAACUACAAGUAAGCUUCAAGUGAAAUUGAUACAUUACCUUGUGCAUCUCCACCAGUUAAAGAUACCACCCCUGGAUGGAGGAAGAGUACUUCCAGAGAAGAUGCCACAUCUACCUAUGAGACAGAUAAGGCAAGUCAAGACGAUACCACACUCCGAUACUUAGAAGUUUCGUGAUUACGAGAUCAUUCUCCCACAAUAUUUCCUAAUGUCAUUUGUACUAAAUCAUUCACUUGUACUCACUAAAGGAGAGCUUGAACCUAUGUACUUGUGUAAACCCUUCACAAUUAAUGAGAACUCCUCUAUUCCGUGGACGUAGCCAAUCUGGGUGAACCACGUACAUCUUGUGUUUGCUUUCCUAUCUCUAUCCAUUUAUAUACUUAUCCACACUAAUGACCGGAGCAAUCUAGCGAAGAUCACAAAAAGCAACCGUUUUCGCUACCUAGGAUCUAUCUUGCAAGAGAACGGAGAAUUAGAUGGAGAUCUCAACCAUAGAAUACAAGCUGGAUGGAUGAAGUGUAAGAGUGCAUCCGGCGUGUUGUGCGACCGUCGUAGGCCACUGAAGCUCAAGGCAAAAUUUUAUAGGACGGCAAUAAGGCCAGCGAUGUUGUAUGGCACAGAAUGUUGGGCGGUGAAGCAUCAACACGUACACAAAAUAGGUGUAGCGGAGAUGAGGAUGCUUCGUGGGAUGUGUGGGCACACGAGAAAGGAUAAGAUUGGGAAUGAGGAUAUCCGAGGUAAAGUAGGAGUAGCCGAAAUUGAAGUAAAGAUGAGAGAAAAUCGGUUCCGGUGAUUUGGACAUGUGCAAAGAAGGCCUACUGACGCUCCGGUUCGAAGAUGUGACUACGGAACAGAGGUUCAGGGCCGAAGGGGUAGAGGAAGACCUAGGAAAACUUUGGAAGAGACUCUAAGAAAAUACUUAGAGUACUUGGAUCUAACGGAGAACAUAACACAAAACCGAGCGCAAUGGCGUUCUAGGAUUCAUAUAGCCGACCCCACUUAGUUGGAAAAUGCUUUGUUGUUGUUGUUGUUGUUGUAUAGAUAGUUGGCGCUUUGUAGUGGGCGGUAAGUUCUAGUUUUACCAUUAAAAAAUAUACACUGUCAAACUAGUGUGGGUUCUAUCAAUUUUUUUAGUAUUUUAUUUAUUUUUUCACUCUGUCUCCGUGCCAUGGUCUUGAUAUUAUCACUCCUUUAAUAUUUUAUUCAUAUUUUAUUCUACUUGAUUUAUGAUGGUGUGUUUUUUUGACCAAGGUUUAUAAUGGUGUUUGUUCUAUAAGUCGGCAUAUUUGCCAACCGCAAUCGAUACUGUCGUUCUCAAACACAAAGCAAUAGUUUGCUACCGAAAACAACCAAAGUGUGACAAAGGGAACCGUCUUACACCUAACCUGUUUUUCCCUCAUCAAAUGAGCGCGUUGAUCUGCAGGUAUUUUCUGCCAUCUCAAAACCUGUUACAAAGAAAUAUAACGUUGAUGUCGAGCUGGAUAGCAUAUUAUACCAAUUAUGUGUACAAACCUAUUGAAAUAAAGUAGCUGUAGUUGCAUAUUACGACAGAUAUUAACGAAAACAAAAGAAGGCUCGCCUAUUCAAGAUCCUAAAUCCCGUGAUUCUUUUGUUUUUAGUUUCAGAAAUUUUCAGAGCACAAACUGGAAAGUACCAAGAUACUUACAUAUUGGGCAUAAUGAAAUGCAUCUUCAUCUUUCAAGCAAGAUUUGAGUGAGCGCAAACCGUCCUGAGAGUUACAUAAGUCAAUCAGUAAUAUAAAAACGUAUACGCAUCACAUCCAAACACAAGUAUUCAAACACCAACAACUUCUUCAUGCGGUGAGGCAUGUUAAAAAAUAGGGAAGAACAGUUAUUGAAUAGGAAGUUAAAGGACUAAAUUUAUGACCUUGUGUUUGUAGUUCUUGGCUCGUAUGCGUUCAUCUAUUACAAAACCAAUCUGUAACAGGUACAACAGAAAAUAUAAGCAGUAGUCAGAACAUUAAUCUUCGGCAUUCACAUUGCCACCAAUCCAAAGUUAAAAGUCUGAAGGCAAAACAGUAUGAUUCUUAUCUCUCAAACAAAAAUGAAACUAUACCCCGGUCUCAGACAUAAAUGAAAUAAGUUCUACUGCCUCAACUGAGUACUGUGAUUAUAUAUAAAUCCAAUUCACCUUGUCAAGUAAUCUCUUAGGAUCUUGAAAUGCUUCCUUCUUAGCCCAGUCAUUAAAUACAUGCGAGAAAAUUGAUCUCUCAUCCACACUGAAUCUAUUGCACAGUGACAGAAGAAUAAAGUUAAACAUGAACAUAACCAACCAAAAAUGCUAGUUAUAAUAGUACACCCAUAAUUGCAAGCAAAACCUUUUUAAGAAGCCAUUUCCAUGGUUUUCCUCCCCAAAUUCCAUCAAUUCUGCAGAGGCAACGUCAAAUUUACUAUGAUGGAGAUCAUUUUGCACUGUAAUAACUUCAGAAGGUAGGAGAUUUGGUUUCAGAUCAUCUGUUGACGGAGUAGUUUCUUUUGAAGUGUCAUGAUGCUUUGAUUGCAAGCCUUCUGUACUUACGUCAGCCUACAAAACAAAAAUUGCAUUCAUCCACACUAGACUUAAUAAGAUUAGAAACACUUCAGAUUCUUCAUUAUUUGUAUUUUUGACUAAACAGCAGAACAACUGAGGAUAAUGAACAGUAAUACACACCUGGACUUCUCGUAGAUGAUUUGGAAUUUCUUUCAGAAAUCGCGAAGGUUGAAGCAUCUGAAGGAGUCACCUUCUCAGUCAGAGCAACAACAACAAAUAAGGAGGACAGGAAUUCAAGCUAAAACGAACCUGCCAACUGGAAUCCAUCGUAACAUAAAGAAUGAAAAGCUUUUUUCGAGCACGAGUCAUUGCAACAUAUAAUAGGCGUCUCUCCUCCUAUGAUUAGAGUGGGAUUAUUGAGUUAUUGAUCAAAAGAAAAAAGAGUGGGAUUAUUGUGAAAAACAUGUCAAAGCUCUGCAUAUAACUGAAAAAUGUUGAACAAUUUACCACACACCUCAAUGGAGGUCCCAUUUUCUUUUGCAACCCCAUUGAAUUCAUGCAACAACGGGAUCUCAGAUUCAUUUACCUGUGUUAUUGGCAUGAGCAUUAAAGCAAGCUAAGAUGAUUUGAAGAGGUUGAUAUCGUCAUGAAUAUAGUAGAACAGAGAAUACCAAUUUCAAGCCAUCAAUUAGGUAUAGCAUUGGCAUGUUUAAUCCGUAAAAUCUAAUGACAGAACACCUCAACUCUACACAUAAAUAAAUAAACAACCUGAAAAAUAUUACAGCCACAUGUUAAGGCAAAUACCUUAAUUAUGAAAACUAUAUCCCACUCUAAACCUUUUGACUGCAAGAGAAUGAAAAAGAAAGACAGUAAGCCAAGAAUGUUUUGUAGAACUCCAAAGGAAGUCCAAUAGGGAAAUCAUCGCAAGUAUAAGAGUUAGCGAGGUUCGCAUAAGAGGAUAUCAAAAAGAUCUAGAACCUGAUGAAUAGUAGUCAAAGUGACAGAACUUUGGUUGUCAUGUCUUCGGGAGUGAAAAUUUUCACUCUCCUGCUCAGAUAUGUAGUCGAUGAAAGCUUUGAGUAAAUUAACGCAGCCUUUUUCUUCUGCUACGACUUCUCUCUCUCCCCUUUUCCCGCAACAAAAUGAGUUGAUAAGAAAUCAGAUACGUCGUCUAGUAGGUACUGAAGAACCUGCAAUGAGAAUAAUCGCAUCACAGCAACAGGGUUGGACCAAGAUUUAAGUGACAACAAUGAUUAACUAACUAAAAUAGAGAAAUUAUUCAUUUAAGACCUUGUUGACGGAAAAAAGGGUUUUCCAAGCAGCGGGUCAUUUAAGCUUAUUGUAUAAAUGACAAUCAUCACAAACGGCAAACUUACAGAUCUCACGUCAUUGUCUUCAUUCAGCAGUUUUCCUCCAUCUACAUCAACGACUGCACGUUGCUCAAGACGGUACUUCUAAAAAUUGAAAGUCAACAACAACAACAACAACAACAAAGCCUUUUCCCACUAAGUGGGGUCGGCUAUAUGAAUCCUAGAACGCCAUUGCGCUCGGUUUUGUGUCAUGUCCUCCGUUAGAUCCAAGUACUCUAAGUCUUUUCUUAGAGUCUCUUCCAAAGUUGUCCUAGGUCUUCCUCUACCCCUUCGGCCCUGAACCUCUGUCCCGUAGUCACAUCUUCGAACCGGAGCGUUAGUCGGCCUUCUUUGCACAUGUUCAAAAUCACCGGAGCCGAUUUUCUCUCAUAUUUCCUACAAUUUCGGCUACUCCUACUUUACCUCGGAUAUCCUCAUUCCCAAUCUUAUCCUUUCUCGUGUGCCCACACAUCCCACGAAGCAUCCUCAUCUCCGCUACACCCAUUUUGUGUACGUGUUGAUGCUUCACCACCCAACAUUCUGUGCCAUACAACAUCGCUAGCCUUAUUGCCGUCCUAUAAAAUUUUCCCUUGAGCUUCAGUGGCCUACGACGGUCACACAACACGCCGGAUGCACUCUUUCCAUCCAGCUCGUAUUCUAUGGUUGAGAUCUCCAUCUAAUUCUCCGUUCUCUUGCAAGAUAGAUCCUAGGUAGCGAAAACGAUCGCUUUUUGUGAUCUUCGCUAGAUUGCUCCGGUCAUUAGUGUGGAUAAGUAUAUAAAUGGAUAGAGAUAGGAAAGCAAACACAAGAUGUACGUGGUUCACCCAGAUUGGCUACGUCCACGGAAUAGAAGAGUUCUCAUUAAUUGUGAAGGGUUUACACAAGUACAUAGGUUCAAGCUUUCAUUUAGUGAGUACAAGUGAAUGAUUUAGUACAAAUGACAUUAGGAAAUAUUGUGGGAGAAUGAUCUCGUAAUCACGAAACUUCUAAGUAUCGGAGUGUGGUGUCGUCUUGACUUGCCUUAUCUGUCUCAUAGGUAGAUGUGGCAUCUUCUCUGGAAGUACUCUUCCUCAAACGAUAAAUUAUUACGAAGCAUUGAAUAUAAGCAUGAAACGAAGAAAAUGUUAUGGAAUGGUGAUCCUCAUCCUCAAAGAUGAUUAAAAGCAAUUUGAUUCAAAAAUGACAUAUCAACUCUGGAGAAAUGGAAGACAAACCUGUGGUACCAUAUUCGCAACUGAGGUUAUGACAGCUGAAAUCGAUUGUUCCUGUGUGCAUUGAUAAGUGAGACUACCAUAGAGAUUCACAACUAAAUAAAGACAGGUAUUCCACAGAACAACCUUUACCUCUUUGGAAACACAGAUCUAACAAAAACUAUAACAUUUUGGAUUAAUAUUGACGAAUCAAGAAUAAUGCAAGGGAGCAAGAGAUACUCUUCCUUCUAAUAACAAGGAGGCGUGAAAAGUAUACAGAGUUCCAACAAUUAGAGAACUAAAAUCAAACUAAAAAAAUCACCAAAGUAGACAGAAUCUCACUUCGCCAAAAAUUUGAAAAUAUAUCCUUUUUAUCCAUUGAGAUUCAUGAACUACUACUACUACUACAUCAUGCCAAUAAGCAAUGCGUAAGAGGUGCUACAAUUUACCGAAUAUAUUUACCCUGAGAACAAGUUUUGAAAUCAUCUCUAGUGUUAACAGCACCUUGCGUCCUUGGGUAAGCUGAGUCCUAUUAUCAAGUAAAGAGACCAAUCAGUACAUAUCCAAAAGAUCUUAAAUGCUUGUAAUACCAAAUAAGAAAGAAACAUGAGUAUAUCUUGAAUUAACCAUGUAAAAAUGUAAUGUUAAAGCAUCUUGUCAUACAGACCUCUUCAAGGUACCAGAAAUUUUUGCACUAAAGAUGUCACAAGCAGCUGAUAUGAAGCUGCAUUUUCUGUGAGUUGAAAUUUUGUCAAUAUAAUCGAUCACCUGAAGAGAGAGAGAGAGAAAAAGACAGUGAUAUCCAGAGAUGUGAGCCUAAAUGCUGAGUGUGUAAAAAAAGAAGAUUAAAUGGAUAGCAAGAAUAUACAACUUUAAUGCUGAAAAGAACAUUGAAUAUGAUGCUCAUUCAUCAUUCCCAUUGAACGUGUACCUUCUUCUUUUCCUCUUUCUCAAAAGCAAGUAGAGCCUUGAAGACUUGCCUAUAUGAUCCAUCAUCACAACCAGGCAAAGUUGUUUUAAUCAUAGCAACAAUGGCUCUAACUACCUGCCAUAAGAAACAUGCUACAUCAACAAGAUCACAGAGUGUACCAGAAACCGUAAUGUAGCAAAAUCUUGGAUAAAAUAGCUGACCAAAAGGGAAUGGAAAAGCAAGCACGAAAAACAAUGAAAAGGACCAGUGAUGCCAAAAUUCUGGUGGAAAAGGUGAAAAGCUUCUGCCUAUUACAAUUUUUGUAUGCAUUCUUUAUAACUUAAGUUCUACUAGCAAAAACCACCUUAUGCAAAAUAAUAUUGGAAAAAUUAGAUACAUACAACUGAGAAGAUAGGUUUUCAUAAUCUGGACAAGUGCUAACUACCUUCUUCCUAUAAACUGCCACUCCAUGAACAUUAAAUGGUAUUUUCCUUUCACGCAAGGCUGUCUGGAAGACUUUUCCUGAUACCUGUAGCAUAAAAUACAAAAGAAAAUGUGACCAAAAUGUCUUAUAUGAUUCACCUCAUUCACAUUAGCACUAAGGCAAGUAAGCUUGACCUGCCUCCGGUAAAGGAUUGCUAUAUUUCCAUAGGAGCACCCUGCUUCUGACCGUUUCGAUGCAGUCUCCAGGAUCUUGUCGACAACAAAGGCGCAUUGUGCAUCCUCAUUGUGACUUUCCUUGAUAAUUACCUACAUUUUGCCAGUAAAACCAGUGUCACUAACUAAAAGGACUGAAAAAUGACAUCAAAUUGUACUUGUUGGAGCAAGGAAAGAUUAAGUACCUUAGACCCAGAAGAAUUGUCCGUGUCAACAUUCUUUAGUUGGCAUCGCUUCUUAUUGUUUUUUAUAACAGAAGAUGCAGCUUCCACAAUAUAGCGUGUGGACCUAAAGUUUUUAUUAAGCCUAAUCUGAACCAUAAAGUUAUGUCAAAUCCCACAGAAACCCAUAAAAUAAAACUUACUUUCCUGUAAUUGUACAAUAUAUUUGUUCUAUACUAUAUAUAAUGAAAAAAGACACUGUGAAUGACAUAAGAUAACAUAGCAGUCAAGUGCGAAGCGAACCUCUUUGUAAUUUGAAAAAUCUUUACGAAAAGAAUCAAAUCCAGAAAUGUCCGCCCCAUUGAAACUGAAAAUGGACUGCAGCAGGAUAUAUGUUAUUUGAUUUAGAACAGAUAAGGGCUGGAUUAGAAUGAGCUGAGAGAGAGAGAGAGAGAGGGAGAGAGGGAGAGAGGGAGCAAUAACAUUGGAUUUCCAUAAUAAAUCAACAACAUGCCUGAUCAUCAUCACCAACAAUGGUUAUGUGGUUAUGAGAGGCGAGAAUCCGCAAAAGACUAUAUUGCAUAGCACUUGUGUCUUGAAACUCGUCUAUUACAAUAGCUUUCCAUGACUCCUGGCACUCCUUCAACACUAAUUAAGAGAACACCAUGUAUCAACAUUUAGCAUUACUUGUAAAACUAGAUAAAUCAAUGAAAUAUACUUAGAUGAUAGAGACCUUCAGGAAAAUCACUUAGCAGCUUCACAGAGCAGCUAAUUAAGUCGUGGUAGUCCAAAGCGUUGCACGAUUUCAAGAUAUCAUUGUAAUUCCUAAGAAUUUCACCCUGAUUCAGAUUGAGAGCUAAAACUCAUAAGCAAUAGUUUCAAAGAACUGAAAUGAUAUCUGAAAUUCUAGUUCUGAGCGUACUCCUGUCACAUCACCCAUUCUUCGGCAUUCAGCGGGAGUCUUUCCAGAAGCUUUUGCCUGAAACAUAAAUAAAUUUACUGCCUAAUGCCACAUAUUGUAAGACACACCAUUGUAUUGGUCAUUCUAGCUUGAUUGUAGCUAAUAUUUUUUAAAUCGAAUGAUUAGAGUUCUUAAUCCACAAUAAUCUGAACAUUAAAUUUGGUAUUCAAGACUAACCUGUGUCACAAACUUCAGCCAUUUCUUUGAUGCAUCCUUAAAAUGAUGUGGAGAUGUUACGCCGUCAGACUCUUCCCCAUCUAUAGCAACAUUAAGAUUCGUUUUACUCUUUUCAUCUUCUGAUAACCGCACAGCUUCAAUGAUUGCUCUUCUCUGUUGCCCAUGUCCAUAUAUCAAAAAUUCUGGUCUGCGCUUGAGUCUAAAACACAAGCCAACAUAACAGACUCAGCUAUACCACCAAAUGUAUGGUGUUCAAAAUCAAGGGAGGUGAAUCAAUAGCUUACUUCUCAGCAUGUGAUCGGCAAAGUUGCAAUGAAAAUGAAUGAAAUGUACUGAUUGUUAGUAGUUUUGCCGUUGCUUUCCCAGUCACAGAUCCAAUUCGAUCUCUCAUCUCGGAAGCUGCUGCUGUAGUGAAAGUCAUUGCUAGAAUGUUCGACGUGCUAAUGCCCUAAGAACACAAAAAAAAAAAAAAAACGAAUAAGAUUUCGAUCAUAAACAAGAAAUGUAGAGAAACACACAAUUACGAAAGAAAAAGUUAGAGGGAAAGUAGCAACACCUCAUUGAGCAGCAUUAGAACGCGCCCAACUAUCGUUGAAGUCUUUCCACUUCCAGGGCCGGCAACAAUCAUCAAAGGUACUGAAAUAUAGCUGCAAGCUGCCUCACGCUGCCUUUCGUUGAGAGAAAGCAAAUACUUCAAAUACUCAUCCGGCAUGUUAGGCAAUCCAUGGUUAACAGAAUCUGUUUGGUUUUCACUACUCAAAGGCGGCGCUGAUGGCACUAACGUGUUAUGACCCAAAUUAUUACUGAGGUUUUAUGCUUUAUUACUGUGAGGAAUUGUUAAUAUACCAGCUGGCAUUUAAAAGUGUAGAGGUUUUAUAAAAGGAGCCCCAGCUCCCCCAAAUGUAUCAGAUCAGAAUUUUACAAAAGAAAUCAAUAUUGGAGCUCUGCUCCUUCUUCUCUCCUUCCCUCUUCUUCCAUAGCUUUCUUGUGCCACUUACAGGUUGAUUAAGGGAAUUGAGAAUUAGAUCUUAUCAAUGGUAUCAUCCUUCUCGAAUCCUGGUUUCCCUCCUGUGCACACCCACCCACCUACGUUUUCUGCCAUGGUUGCUGCGCCCAAGGAUUCGCUUCGCGAGACCCUGGAUGCUCUAUUCGCACCCUACCUGGCUAAGAUCCGCCGUGCCCGUGAGUUGGCUCUCAGCGCUGAGGGAGACUCCACUCCAACCCUUAUGUUCGCUAUCAGUGAUGGGGGAGUUCCUGAUCCAGCCCCGAUGAUUGCCGAUGACGCUGCAGGAAUCGAUCUCGGUCAGAAAAUAAUUCCACGAGUCGCUGCAUCAACUAAUCAGAUUCUGCCGUUGCUCUCGUCAUCGCCGUUAUUGCGAGCACUAGCAAAUCCUCCUGUCAGGCCACCGUCGAACUCAAACGCUUCAUUGGCAAAUUCGCCCAGCCAGCCGCUACACUCAAAUGAUAUUGUAGCAGCCACAAUUCCAUUGCGGAAUGUUGAGAAAACCAGGCCCGUUGCGAUUGUGACCACAAUGCCGCUAUUUCCGAUUUCAGCAACCUUUAGCACUGAAUCAGCCCACGCUCACAAUCACAACCUCGUUUUGAGCACCAAGGAAGCUACAACAAUGGCGCAUGUUCUGGGUUUUCCUCUCAAGAAAGCAGGAGCUACUAAAUCUGUAGGUAUAUCUCAUACAAACACCACGAAGCGUCGACACGAGGUAUUGACAUCCUUGCUUUCCAAUUCUACAAAUCGGAAGGACAAAUGGUAUUGGGUUUUGCAGGUUAUUUUGGCAUAUUAUACUGGUGUUAUUGUGAUAAUGUAUGACGACUUCUUAACUGAUAAAUGUGGAUGGGGUAAUUGGUACCUUGUGGGACAAUUUGUGUUACACGCGCCCCUAAUUUAAAUCGUAUUUUUACUAAAUUUGAGUUUAUCUUGCUUUUAAAAUUAUUUUUGGGUUUUAAAUGGUGUGCCCAAGGCCCACCCCCUGUUUUGUCCCCCGUUCCCUUUCCCUUUCUUUUAUUUAUUUUCUUCUUUCUUCUUCUUCUUCUUCUUCUUUUCUGUUUCUUUUUCUUUCUUUUCCGUCUGUCCCUCUCGGCUCUCUCUGCGCCCUCUCUUCUCUGCACCGCAACAAGCACACGCACGCACCCAUUGCACCUGCGCGAGGAAGACCAUCAUCAUCUCGUCCUGCUCUCUCUCCCUCUCGUGUUUGCGAACCCAGAAAAUCGGAAAGGAUCUUCCGCGAGAUUUUUAUAUUUUCCGGUUAGGUAAGCCUCAAAUCCCUCUCUUUCGUCCUAGAAUCUUUUGAGAAUGGGUUCUAAUUGGUUUUAUUUCGUGAUUUUUGGAGGUUUUAGGAUGAAAACAAACUCGGGUGCAGGAACACCCAUUUCCGGCGAGGAACCCGCCACUUUCGAGUUAAUCUCCGGCCAAACCACGGCGAGUUGGCCGGCGUGCAAGGUAUCAAUCUCUUCGUCUCGUCGAUUACUACAACUUUCCUUUUUGUUUCACCCAAUUUCGUUGAGUAUUGAAGAAGUUAUACUCAUUUGAAUCUUACCCAGUUUCCGGCGAGUCCGACGGCUUUCGAGGCGUUUUCCGGUCAAACCACGGCGAAUUAGACGUCGUGUGAGGUACCAUUCUCUUCGUCUCUUCGAGGGCUACAACUUUCGUUUUUGUCUCGCUUGAUUUCGUUGAGUUUUAACAAAGUUAUAGCCAUUUAAAAUUGGGUGGUUUUCCGGCCGAAAUUCCAGCCUUCUUCUUCCUCGGGUCCGGCGACCCAUCAAACUUGGGCCCUUUGGGCCGUUUCUGUUAAGGGCUUUAAGCCCAAACCCUAAACCUUUGGGCUUUAGGACCAAACCCAAGAACCCAAACCCUAUGACCCAAACCCGGAUCCAAGCCCAGACCCGUUUGACCUGGUCCGACCCGGAUCCUGACCCGUUGACUUUGACCGGUCAACGUUGACUUUUCUAGUUGACUUUUCGGGUUUUCGUCCAAGACCUUCCUAGGCUAAUUUCGACGUCCUGGAUCCGUUUUUGAAGUUCGUUUUCCCAAAUUCAAUCGUUUGAGUAGAGUUUGACUAAAUGGAUCAUUUAUGUGCUUAGGUGAAUUUAAUGACGGCGGUUCCGUUAUUCCUAUUUGGUAUGGCGUUGCACCAACGGUGUACGGUGAGUGGACCCCUUCUAAAAUGCAUGUUUUAUAGUAGAAAUGCAUACAUAAAAAGUAUGAUUUGAUGAUUACCUUUUAUGAAACGUUUUGUGAGAUAACAUGCUUAUUGAGGCUACUUUAAAUUAUUACUAUUUUUCCUAUAACCCGUGUUCUUAUAGAAUAUCUGAUGGAUGACGAUAUGAUAUUAGAACAUGUUUAGAACACCUCUUUAUAGUAUAGAUGAUGGAUGACUUUAUACUAUGAAGUUGUUUUUCAAUAUAUAUGUUCAAUGGUUUUGUACUUACCUAGUGGUCAUUUCCGCUACGGGACGUAGGGAUAGAUUCCGGUCAUUCCCGGGCGACGGUUUGGUGUUGGCAUAGGGCCUGGAGUGUGUUUCCUCUGGCUAUUUAGCACAGGGACGGGGAGCCGGCAUGGGGCCUGAAGUGUAUUUUCCUCUGACUGUCUGCUCAGAGACGGGGAGCCGGCAUGGGGCCUGGGGGUUAUCGGACAAUUCACUAGUGAUUAUUAUAUAUAUAAAAGUUAUGAUUUGAGACACUGCACAUCAUGCUAGGUUUCGGAAAACCUAUGUUUAUCAUUAUAUAUGUGUUUUCAUAAAACUUGGGGGUUAGUACGUUGAUAACUGUUUUGUUAUAUUUAUAUCAAAUUGGUCCACUCAUGUUUGUUUUGCGCCCCCUUCAGGAUUUAGGAUCGAGGCGUACAAUCCCGGCAAUCCAGGCACUUCCGCAUCGGUAUCUUCAAGUCCUCUCGGUGUAGAACCCACUUCUGUGUUCAUUCAAUUUUUAUAUUAAUUCUUUUAAUGUUCUAGAUUAGAUGUGUGCUCUGAACACGUUCCUUAAAUGCAUAUUCUUUAUUUAUAUUUAUAAGUUUUAUCUAUCCUUUAUUUUCAGCAAUUGCACUCAAUAAAUGGCUUUCGUCGCCCUCGGGUGUCGGCCAGCACGUGACCAUCCUGAUAUCCUGAGGAUAUCGGGAUCGGGGCGUGUCAGAUUGGUAUCAGAGCGUGGUUUGUUCAGAGCAUACUUAGGAUCCUCUUCUAUUAUCGUAGAGUGUUGGUUUUGACAUCAUUUGGAUGUCCAGACUUCUAGAUUUGGUGCCAUUCGGCGCAGUCGUGCGAAUCUUCCUCUAUUUGAAUUGUCACAUUCGGGUUGAUAUACAAGAAUUUGUGUCGGGAUUGUGCCUCAUCGGUGACGUGUUUGAAUUGUUGGACGACUUUCAGCUUCAGAUUGAUACUCUACGACGUGCAUUCCCUGGGAAUGACGGGCAUAGUCGGUGUUACUUGGAAGCGACGGAUUUUAGAAAUCUCAGCUUAAGGAAGUCUGGUCAAGACCAGCUGUAAAUUCGAAAUGGCGAUGCCACUCUACAACAUGCGUUCCCUAGGAAUUGCGGGCGGAGUCGGCUUUGCAUCGAAAUCUUGGGAAGCGGAAAAAAAAUCUUGGCAGUACGAAUUGACUAAGACCAACUGGAGUUCUGAAGCGGUGUUGUACUCUGCAACAUGCGUUCCUUAGGAAUGGCGGGCAGAGUCGUAUCUCUUUAGAAAUUACUCGAAACUUUCGAAAUGCAGAUUGAAGAAGCGAGUAAGUGCUAGUGGUGACGACGGUUAGUAGGUGGUAGUUGGUGGGAGCAAAAUCAAUGUUCUCGAACUCAUUACCACUGAAGAAAUUUGGGUGAAUCUUUAUAACAGUUCUCUGUGAUUGUUUUAUCGAUUACCUUCUCGUUUAUUCCAACGACGAAGUCAAGUUCACUGACCUUUGAUCGUCAGCUUCACAUCAAAUCCCUCGAGAGUUGACUUCGUCUAGAGAUUAUACUUUUCUUGGGAAACUCCUCGGUAGCAGACGUUAUUCUCAUCAAUUUCGAAAUGGAGUUGCGAUUCUUGUUGUUGUUGUAGUUGAACUUGGAUAAUGAAGAUUCAGCCUUGUUUGGAUAAACAAAUUCCUUGAACUUCACCUGGGUUUGGUACUUGGUAGUAAACCCUAGUUCCUCAUCCGUGUACUUUUCAGUGAAGGUGAACUUAGUCCCUUGCUUGCAACCUAACUGUUCAGCCUUGUAAUUUUCAGCGUAAUGGCUUGAGACUCUAUCAUAUUCAUCAUUGUACGAAGAUCGAGCUUUACUCUGAACUUCUCUGGGCUCGUUAAGCUUUGAUUUGCUCAGAGGCAUCACUUUAAGGUAGCCAAUCGUGUCACUGCAUGCAUACACAAGCUGCUUUGUAUCUUUCUUCUUCGUUAUUCUGCUGAUUCAGAGGUUUUAUGUUUAAUUUCUGAAUUUUUAAAUGACUAUCGCGAAGUACCGUGAAUCUCGAAAUGUCUUUGGCCUCGUCAAAUCUUAUUAAUAGUUCUUGACUAUUCUUGAGAUUAGACUUGUUCCUUUUGGCUAAGAAACCAGUCGACCUUAUUGUGAUGAGUAGCCAAAUAAUCAUAAACAGUAACUUCUAUUUCUGCAUCUUCAUUUUCCUUCGUUUGUUUGUUUGUUUCUCAAUGUGAACUGGAUCAUGCCGGGACAUUACACGAAGGGUGUAAAAAAAAAAAAAAAAAAAAACGUUUGUUCUCGGCGUGGUUUCUAGUUCAAAUCCGGAUAUCUUGUACUCUAUAUUUAAUGGACUUGUUUUGAACCUUAAAUUCCUGAGUGUUCUUUUAGCCUUAUCGACAUGGUUUCUCUCUCAAUUAGUGAGAAAUUCAUGAUCGAUGGUUUCGGCGGAAGUGUGCGCCCAAUUCUUAUCGAUUUGGACAGGAAUGUUGGGAGCAUAAUCUUUUCACAAGCUUACUAGACUUACCAGAAAGAGUUCCACGUGGGUGUGAAGUUUGAGUUGUCUUUUGGUAAGAGACUGGUGAAGAUUGUGGUGCAGAUGAUUAGCAGAUUGUAUCACUAUCUUCACGCUGAAUUGAAUGGUCACCAUUCAUUAUCCUGCUGCAAUUCAUAAUCAUCAUAUCUUACUCUGGUAGACAUUUUUGAUGAUGUGUUCGCCUCAACGCAGCUUUCCACUACCUCUCACCAGGAUCCUUCGGUUCGAGAGCACGUGGGCGUGAGGUUGAGCGGUCUUUUAGUAAGAGUUGGUUGAAGGUUUUAGUUCAGAAGGUCAGCAUAUUGUAUCACCAUCUUACUAGAAUUCAUAGGCAUCACAUCGGUUAUUUUCCAACGAUAUGUGUUCGUGUCAAUGCAUACUUCGACUGCUUCACUUCUGAACCUUAUUCUUGUGAGUAUGUGGAUGUUGAAUCACUUAUAGCAGAUUUGUUUGGUGCACUCUGGAAUGGCACCACAACGUAGUUGAGAUAAGAAUCGGAAGAUCUUUGCACUUUUUGCGAAUGGUGUGUGCUCUCAUGGGGUGUUUAGGUUGAUUGCAUGAGAGUCAUUCUUUCCUCCAACAUUGAUCUUGUUUGACUAGAAAUCUGCAACUAAGCAAAAAUGGAGAGGUGGAUUGAGCACUACAACAGUUCCCAAGAGAUACUGCGUGUUGAGGAAGAUGACUUCUCGUUUUCUGCUUACCUAGUUCGAGCUUUUGGGUCUACUACUAACAUGGUGGCCACUUCUCUUGAAUCCCAAAGUACAGUUUCAAAUGGGUUCUUUGUUGGCAUAACUCUGGAGUAGUUGGUCACAUUUGGAAUAACUGAGGAAGAGGUUGUGCUUGGUACUAAAGGGAGUUAGUAUGACGAUAGUUAUUGGUUUUGUUCGAUUUGGGUAUGGCACUAUUUGCGACAUGGUACGAGAGUUGCUACACGCAACAUUGGUUGAUAGAGGAGACGUGCAAGCUUGUACUUGGAGGAUCGAAUUUUCGACGUGUGAAAUUGUGCACCCUCAGGAAAUUACUGCUUGUUUACUGAGACAACAAAUGUGUGGUCGAUAUCGCGGGCGGCCGACUGUGGUAUCGAUAAUUUAUUUGUUGGGUUCGUUAAGCAAGUGGGGCAGGAAUAUCCUUUUACGGCAGCCGUUAAAGAUUCACUAUUGUUAGAACUGGACCCAAAGACACAUCUAUUUUCGGAGUACGCGACGUUUCGAAUUCUUGGGCAAGACCCACUCUCAUUCUUCAGUUUUGGUUUUCAGUAUAAGUAUUUUAACCUCAUUUACUCUAGUUAAUUGUUUUGCCAUUACAAAUGUUUUUGGAAAAGUAUUUCCGUUUUCAGUUUUUAAGUGUAGCUCGAAUUUUCAACCUAUAUGUUGGUACAUAUCCAUUUUGACGUUAUCGUAUGUUAUGUUCUUACUUUUGACCUUAAUCUAUUUUAUGUUUUCGACUUUAUAUCUUUAUAAAGUAUGUUUUCUACUUUUACACUGAUGGGGAAGAAAGUAAGCUUGGAGGCAUGAUAGAGGAUUUUGCAACCCGCUCGCGACGGUGUGGUAUAUUCUCUUUGAUGCACCCACUCUGACUUGAUUUCUCUUUAUACAUAUAUUCUUCUUACUAUUUUCGUGUAUUUCAGUUUAGUAGGUGAUUUUAAAUUUCGGGGACGAAAUUCUUUUUAAGGGGGGUAGAUUGUUACACCCGCCCCUAAUUUAAAUCGUAUUUUCACUAAGUUUGAGUUUAUCUUGCUUUUAAAAUUGUUUUUGGGUCUUAAAUGGUGUGCCCAAGGGGCCCCACCCCCUGUUUUGUCCCCCGUUCCCUUUCCCUUUCUUUUAUUUAUUUUCUUCUUUCUUCUUCUUCUUCUUCUUCUUUUCUGUUUCUUUUUCUUUCUUUUCCGUCUGUCCCUCUCGGCUCUCUCUGCGCCCUCUCUUCUUUGCACCGCAACAAGCACACGCACGCACCCAUUGCACCUGCGCGAGGAAGACCAUCAUCAUCUCGUCCUGCUCUCUCUCCCUCUCGUGUUUGCGAACCCAGAAAAUCGGAAAGGAUCUCCCGCGAGAUUUUUAUAUUUUCCGGUUAGGUAAGCCUUAAAUCCCUCUCUUUCGUCCUAGAAUCUUUGAGAAUGGGUUCUAAUUGGUUUUAUUUCGUGAUUUUUGGAGGUUUUAGGAUGAAAACAAACUCGGGUGCAUGAACACCCAUUUCCGGCGAGGAACCCGCCACUUUCGAGUUAAUCUCCGGCCAAACCACGGCGAGUUGGCCGGCGUGCAAGGUAUCAAUCUCUUCGUCUCGUCGAUUACUACAACUUUCCUUUUUGUUUCACCCAAUUUCGUUGAGUAUUGAAGAAGUUAUACUCAUUUGAAUCUUACCCAGUUUCCGGCGAGUCCGACGGCUUUCGAGGCUUUUUCCGGUCAAACCACGGCGAAUUAGACGUCGUGUGAGGUACCAUUCUCUUCGUCUCUUCGAGGGCUACAACUUUCGUUUUUGUCUCGCUUGAUUUCGUUGAGUUUUGACAAAGUUAUAGCCAUUUAAAAUUGGGUGGUUUUCCGGCCGAAAUUCCGGCCUUCUUCUUCCUCGGGUCCGGCAACCCAUCAAACUUGGGCCCUUUGGGCCGUUUCUGUUAAGGGCUUUAAGCCCAAACCCUAAACCUUUGGGCUUUAGGACCAAACCCAAGAACCCAAACCCUAUGACCCAAACCCGGAUCCAAGCCCAGACCUGUUUGACCUGGUUCGACCCGGAUCCUGACCCGUUGACUUUGACCGGUCAACGUUGACUUUUCUAGUUGACUUUUCGGGUUUUCGUCCAAGACCUUCCUAGGCUAAUUUCGACGUCCUGGAUCCGUUUUUGAAGUUCGUUUUCCCAAAUUCAAUCGUUUGAGUAGAGUUUGACUAAAUGGAUCAUUUAUGUGCUUAGGUGAAUUUAAUGACGGCGGUUCCGUUAUUCCUAUUUGGUAUGGCGUUGCACCAACGGUGUACGGUGAGUGGACCCCUUCUAAAAUGCAUGUUUUAUAGUAGAAAUGCAUACAUAAAAAGUAUGAUUUGAUGAUUACCUUUUAUGAAACGUUUUGUGAGAUAACAUGCUUAUUGAGGCUACUUUAAAUUAUUACUAUUUUUCCUAUAACCCGUGUUCUUAUAGAAUAUCUGAUGGAUGACGAUAUGAUAUUAGAACAUGUUUAGAAUGUCACAGCCCGUCCCGGGAUUUCUAUAUCGGGGGCGUGAAUUGACGUAACUACCCUUGACGGACAUUCGGGUACGUGUGUGUGCGACAUUAUUGAAUUAAUUUUGUAAGUUUUGGGAUUUUAAUUUUGGAAUUUGGAAAUUUUUGUGGUUAGGGAAUUGGAUGGAUGGUGAGGAUUGUGUUGGACCACACAAUCACACACACACGCACUCCCUGUCUUCUCUCCCUCCCGUAGCUCUCUCUGUCCCUCUCCCUCACGAUCUCUCUCUUUCCCCUCACCCUAUACGUACGGCCUUCACCCAAAACCCUUCAAAACUCGACGGAUCGAGGCAAAUAAGGUAUGCAUCUUCAUCCUUUCGUCGUCCUGAGUUCAUUGGUGCUAGUUUUAGGAAGUGAAACCUUCGAUUUCACAUAGAUCCCGAACCUCCAUUUUUGAGGUACUGUUCAUGCGAACGUAAAAUGUUGUGUUUCAGGAGAUUUCAAGCUUGUGGUGAGCUUUAGGAGGUUCCUAAGGAAGCUCGGGGACGUUCGUUGGAGAGUUUUGGACGUCGGGAUCGUAGGUUUCAAGUUUGGCCGAAUCUUUGGUUUUUCCAAGGUGAGAUUUCGUAGUUUUUAGGCCCUAAAACAAGUCCAACGUGAUUGUACACUCUUAGGGCUUCAAUUUGGUAUAAAAUACGAAGAAAAUGGGUGAAAAACGAAGGAGAAUAGUGAGUUUGAAAAUCGGCCGGAGUUCGGCCGGAGUCCGGCCACCAGAGAACCAGUCCGGCGAGACCUGCGAAGAAGACGACACGUGCGCUGCACGUGCUGCGCGUGGCCAGCGCGUGGACCCGUGCCACGUGUGGCGCGUGGGGGCGCGUGGGGCUUCCAAAAAUUUUUCUAAAAAUUUCUCGACGCUCGUGACGUCGAGUAGGUCGAUGUGGUAUAUUAUUAUACCAAAAUUGAGCAUCGUAUGAGAAGUUAUUUCAAAUUAUUGGUGAUGUGCUUAAAAUUAAUGUUUUUAUAGUUGUUUCGCAUAUAGGUGAGACGUAUCCCGAGGACGACCGCAUCCAGGGACGCCACGGGGGUUACGACGACCCGUCGACUUAUCAGUGAGUGGGCAGUUUUGUUUUCGUAUUACCUAUAUACUACUGUUUUUCCCAGAAAAAUGUUUAUAUGAAAAUAUGUUUUGAAUAUGCCAUGCAUAGAAUUAUUUGAAAAUCAUGAAUUGGUUUAUGAACUAUAUGAUUGAAAUAUGAUGCAUACAUGUUGCAUGGUGCUGUGGAGGCACAGGUAAGUCAGGUGAGUUCAUUUAUUCAUUGAAUUGUUGUUGUUGAGAUGAGUUGAGCUCAUAAUCUGCACCCUAGGUGUUAGUGCUUAUAUUAUUCACCACACCGCACGCUCGUCUUGGAUCCAAGUAGGUGGAUGUCGUACAGACCAUGUGAGGGUUCCGACAUGCUAGUCGUACAGAUCACUAGGCGUGAUUCCGACUAGUGGGUGACCUUAGUUAUGCGCGCUGAUGAUAUGAUGAGAGAAGCACUAGAGCGUAUUUUUACACCUUUCAUCGUAUAGACUACCUUACGUAGUUCCGAGUGAUGUGCAGAGUAGGGCCGUAUAGGUCACUGUGGUGACUCCGGCUUAGUGGGAUUUUUGAGCUAUUGAAUUAAUCGUAUAGGACCAACUGCAGGGUCUCCGAUUGAUUCCUUAUUUCACCUGAUUUAUAUUUUUUAUUUAUGUCAUGGCAUGUUUUCUUGAAAAUGUUAAAGAUUUGAGAUUUAAAUGUUGAGAUUUUAUAUGGUUAUAUAUAUUUCUGGGAAAGUAUACAGGUUUUUACGGCGAGGGGAUAUAACUGUUUUAAUGAAAUGUUUUGGAAAACUAAUUUGUUUUACUGACCCACUCAUUUUGUUUUGCGCCCCUCCAGGUUCUAGUUUAGCGGUGGUUGGCUCACGAGGUCCUUUCCGGCUUUCUGACAGAUUUGGGACAUGUAGGACUCACCUGAGGGUGAUGUAUUCUUAUUUUAGUCCUACUUGACUGCAGUUAACCUAUGCUCUGAACUUAUGUGUUUACUUGUAAACUCGUCCGGUUAUGUCCGUAUGUGGUUAUGUUGAGUUUGGGUUGAAUUUCUGUUGUUAUUACGCUUCCGUGUCGUGCUUAUGGUUACGUCACGCCCACGUGACGGCCAGCACACCUGGAUCCUCCGGAUCAGGGUGUGUCAGUUUGGUAUCAGAGCUUAGGUUGCAGUCCUGUAAAAUUGUUAAUGUCUUAACGAUCUUUUUGAUGUUUUCUGUCAGAAUCAUGCCGCCUCGUAGAGAGCGUAGGGAGUCCCGCCGUACUCCUGAACCUAAUUUCCCAGAUAUUACUCAGUUAGGGGAAGCGAUGGCCCAGGCUUUACAGAAUGUGAUUCGUCCUCCCCCUCCUCCGAGGACACCUCUGGAGACCAUGUACAACUUGAAGUUAGAUCGGUUUAUGGGUAAUGAAAGUCAUGAGGGGGCAGAGAAAUGGCUUGAUCAUAUUGAGAAAACCUUUCAGGUGAUGCAGAGUCAGGGGAAUCUCCCUGCUAAUAGGUGGGUGGAGACCACCACUUGGUUUCUGGGUUGUGAACCAGCAGCAUGGUGGAUAAAUCAGGCUAGGUACAUGUCACCUGAGACGGCAGCCGACUGGAAAGUAUUCAAGGAGCAUUUUAUGAAGAGAUUUCGUUCCUCCUGAGUAUAUUGACCGUAAGAAGCAGGAAUUCACCAGGUUGAAACAGAGAAAUAUGUCGGCACAUGAAUAUUAUAGAAAGUUUACUGAUUUGUCUCGUUAUGACACUGAUAUAGCUGGUAAUCAGGGAGAGAUGCUUCGACGUUUCAAGUUGGGAUCUAAGAAGAAGUGGCGUACCUUUGCCAAUGCACUUCCCUGCGCUGAUUAUCAUGAGUAUUUCGAGAUUUUGGUUAGGAUGGAGGACUCUGAUAAUCUUCCUGACAGUGAGGAUGACGAGGACAAGAAUGAGGGUCAGAAGAAGAAUGAUAAGGGUAAGGGUAUUUCUAUUCCUGGACCUCGACAGACACAGAGUUUUUAAGAAGAGUGGAGCGAGUUCGAGUUCUUCUAGUGGGGGAUAUAGUUUUACUGGCCCGAGGAGAGGUGGUGGAAGAUUUUCUGGUGGACCCAGAUUUCAGGGUCAGAGGGAUGCUGGUGGAUCUGGCGCUCCAUGGUGCCGCCGUUGUAACUCCCGUCACCAUGGUGAGUGUAGGAGAGGUUCUGGUGCCUUGUUUUUACGUGUGGGACAGAUGGGACAUCGGGCUUCUCAGUGCCCCCAGGGUCAGCAGAGACCGCAGCAGACUAAUAUGCCACCUCCAGCACCAGUUCAGCAGAGUUUUGGGACCGGGUGGUUAUGGCCAGCCGAGUCGUGGUGGUGCCUACCACUAUCAGGGGGAUGCUGCUCCGUAUGCUUCCGGACCUUAUCAGUAUUCUCAGGAGCCUUAUCCUCAGGCAGGGUAUUCUCAGGAUUUUGGAGGUUAUUCUUCUUAUUCCUCUAUGCCAGCUGGUGGAUCGCAGUGGCAUCAGGGAGGCCAGCCCCGUCAGGGGGAAGUUGCUACUGGUGGUGCAGGAUCAUCCAGGCAGCCUAGUCAGCCAGGCCAGGGACGAGGUAAUCAGGGCAAUAGAGGCCGAGGUGGACGUCAGCAAGCUCAGGGGCGAGUUAAUCAUAUUGUCCCUGCAGGAGGCUCAGAACCAUCCAGACUUGAUAAUGGGUACGUUAAAUGUUCUUGGUCAUUUUGCUAAGGUUUUGAUUGAUUGUGGCGCUACGCACUCUGUGAUUUCUCAUACGUUUGCUCAAAUAACCCAACCUCACCCUUCACCUCUAGGAUUUGAUUUAGAGUUUGCCAUGCCUAGAGGAGAUAAAUGUAUUGUGGAUAGUGUGUAUCUGGGGUGUCCAGUGAUGGUUGAGGGCGUGAUUAUGUCCGCUGAUCUUAUUCCGUUAGAUAUUGUGGAUUUUGAUGUGAUUUUAGGGGCCGAUUGGUUACACCAUAAUCGUGCCCAUAUUGAUUGUUAUGGUAAAUCAGUUACUUUUUAUCGUCCUGGAUUACCCGAGGUUAUUUUUGUGGGCGAGAGAAGUGGGGUGAGACAUGGAGUUAUUUCUGCCAUAAGGGCGAGGAAAUUAUUAUCGAAGGGUUGUCAGGGAUAUUUGGCACAUGUGGUAUUAAAUGAUGUUGCUCCUACUAGUAUAGAAGAAGUUGGUGUGGUCAGACAUUAUCCGGAUGUUUUCCCUGAUGAUUUGCCGGGAUUGCCGCCAGACAGAGAGGUGGAAUUCUCUAUUGAUUUGCUUCCAGGUACGGACCCUAUAUCUCUGACUCCUUAUAGAAUGGCUCCUGCUGAGUUAAGGGAAUUAAAAAUCCAGUUGCAAGAAUUACUUGAUAAAGGUUUUAUUCAACCUAGUUCUUCACCUUGGGGUGCCCCAGUAUUAUUUGUGAAGAAGAAGGAUGGAACUCUUUCGAUUGUGUAUUGAUUAUAGACAAUUGAACCGGGUAACGAUUAAAAACCGUUAUCCAUUGCCCCGCAUUGAUGAUUUGUUUGAUCAGCUGAAAGGUGCGUGUGUAUUUUCUAAGAUUGAUUUGAGAUCCGGGUAUUAUCAAUUGAAGAUUAAAGAAGACGAUGUACCUAAGACGGCUUUCCGAACUCGGUACGGACAUUAUGAAUUUUCGGUUAUGCCGUUUGGGUUGACUAAUGCACCUGCAGCUUUUAUGAGAUUAAUGAAUGAGGUAUUCCAGAAAUAUCUUGAUAAAUUUGUUAUUGUUUUUAUUGAUGAUAUUCUGGUAUACUCUAAGUCCCAAGCAGAUCAUAUCCGACACCUUAAUUUGGUGUUAAGGAAAUUAAGGGAGCAUCAGUUGUAUGCCAAGUUCAGUAAAUGUCAGUUUUGGUUGACUGAAGUGGCAUUUUUGGGGCAUGUUGUAUCAGCUCAAGGUAUUCAAGUUGAUCCUCAAAAGAUUGCAGCAGUGGAGAAUUGGGAGCAACCUCGAACCGUCACGGAGGUACGAAGUUUUCUUGGCUUAGCAGGUUAUUAUCGACGGUUCGUUCAGGAUUUCUCUAUGAUUGCUUUACCGUUGACAAAGUUGACCAGGAAGGAUGUUAAAUUUGAGUGGGAUGAGAAUUGUGAGCGGAGUUUUCAACAAUUGAAGUAUUGCCUCACUCAUGCACCGGUGUUGGUACUUCCCGACGAUAGCGGUAAUUUUGAGAUAUAUAGUGAUGCUUCAUUAAAUGGUUUGGGAUGUGUUUUGAUGCAGCAUAAUAAGGUGAUUGCCUAUGCUUCUAGGCAGUUGAAAAAAUCAUGAAAGGAACUAUCCUACUCACGAUCUUGAAUUGGCAGCAAUUGUUUUUGCUUUGAAAAUUUGGAGGACAUUACUUUGUAUGGUGAGAAGUGUAAGAUCUUCACUGAUCACAAGAGUCUUCAGUAUUUGUUUACUCAGCAUGAUCUUAAUCUUCGUCAGCGAAGGUGGAUGGAAUUGUUAAGUGAUUAUGAUUGUUCUAUUGAAUACCAUCCAGGUCGUGCUAAUGUAGUAGCGGAUGCACUGAGUAGGAAACCUCAAGGUAGACUUAAUGCCCUUAUAUGCUAGUCGUGUUCCUCUUCUUGCUGAAUCUGAGGACAACUGGGGUAAGGUUGGAAAUUGAAAGACCGAGGAUGGAGCUUUUCUUGCUAGUUUUCAAGUCAGGCCAGUUUUGGUGGAGCGUAUACUUGCAGCUCAGAUGGUGAAUGAGGAAAGUUCAAGGAGUUGGUUCAGUUAAGAAGUGAAGGGAAAAAGAAAGACCUCAGAAUUCGGGAAUCAGACGGUAUGCUCAUGCAAGAAGACAGAAUGUAUGUUCCGAAUAAUGAGGAAUUGAAGAAGGAAAUUCUGGACGAAGCACAUUGUUCAGCUUAUGCGAUGCAUCCGGGAGGAACAAAAAUGUAUAUCAUACCAUUCGACCAUUUUAUUAUUGGCCGGGUAUGAAAAGAGAAAUUGCAGAAUAUGUGAGCAGGUGUAUUAUUUGCCAGCAAGUGAAAGCAGAAAGAAAGAAGCCAUUUGGGCGAAUGCAACCCCUUCCUGUUCCCCAGUGGAAAUGGGAAAAUAUAACCAAUGGAUUUCGUGUAUAAACUUCCUCGUACGCGAAAUGGAUUUGAUGGUAUUUGGGUGAUUGUGGAUCGACUCACCAAGUCGGCGCAUUUCAUUCCUGUGAGGGAGAAAUACCCUCUGAAUAAAUUGGCUAAGUUGUUUAUUUCGAAGAUUGUCAAGUAUCAUGGAGUCCCAGUAAAUAUUAUCUCCGAUCGAGACCCGAGGUUUACUUCUAAAUUUUGGGUGGCUUUUCAGGAAGCUCUGGGUACUCAAUUACUGUAUAGCACAGCUUAUCAUCCUCAAACUGAUGGGCAAUCAGAGAGGACCAUUCAGACGUUGGAAGGAUAUGUUGAGAUCUUCAGUACUGCAAUUUGGUGAUUCUUGGCAUGAUCGUCUGGACUUAAUGGAGUUUGCUUAUAAUAACAGUUUUUCACUCGAGCAUUGGUAUGUCCCCAUUCGAGGCACUUUAUGGUAGGGCGUGUCGAACGCCAUUAUGUUGGUCUGAGGUUGGUGAACGGGUAUUAGAAGGCCCUGAGAUCGUGGAUGAGACGACUCAAAAUGUUCAGAUAAUUAAGUCAAACCUGAAAGCAGCCCAGGAUCGACAGAAGAGUUUAGCGGAUCGGCAUACUACUGAUCGAGUGUAUGAUGUGGGUGAUUGGGUAUUUUUGAAAUUGUCGCCUUGGAGAGGUGUAGUACGAUUUGGGAAAAGAGGAAAGUUAAGCCCGAGAUAUAUUGGACCUUAUGUGAUCACUGAAAGAGUUGGUGAAGUUGCCUAUCGGUUGGAACUGCCUCCGGAGUUAUCUAAGGUCCAUAAUGUGUUCCACGUCUCUAUGCUUCGGCAUUAUAUUUCUGAUCCUUCUCAUGUGAUCCCUCCUCAACCGUUAGAGAUUAAUCCGGAAUUUGACGUAUGAUGAGGAACCGGUCACUAUCUUGGAUUGGAAAGAUAAGGUUCUAAGGAACAAGACGGUGAGUUUGGUAAAGGUGUUGUGGAUGAACCAUUCUGCAGAGGAAGCCACCUGGGAGACGGAAGAUCGGAUGAGAGAGAUGUACCCAAGGUUAUUUUAUGGGUACUAAGUGGUUAAUUUGGAUUGUGGGAAUUUCGGGGACGAAAUUCUAUAAGGAGGGGAGAUUGUCACAGCCCGUCCCCGGGAUUUCUAUAUCGGGAAUGUGAAUUGACAGUAACUACCCUUGAUUGGACAUUCGGGUACGUGUGUGUGCGACAUUAAAUUGAAAUUUUGUAAGUUUUGGGAUUUUAAUUUUGGAAUUUGGAAAUUUUUUGUGGUUAGGGAAUUGGAUGGAUGGUGAGGAUUGUGUUGGACCACACAAUCACACACACACGCACUCCCUGUCUUCUCUCCCUCCCGUAGCUCUCUCUGUCCCUCUCCCUCACGAUCUCUCUCUUUCACCCUCACCCUAUACGUACGGCCUUCACCCAAAACCCUUCAAAACUCGACGGAUCGAGGGGCAAAUAAGGUAUGCAUCUUCAUCCUUUCGUCGUCCUGAGUUCAUUGGUGCUAGUUUUAGGAAGUGAAACCUUCGAUUUCACAUAGAUCCCGAACCUCCAUUUUUGAGGUACUGUUCAUGCGAACGUAAAAUGUUGUGUUUCAGGAGAUUUCAAGCUUGUGGUGAGCUUUAGGAGGUUCUAAGGAAGCUCGGGGACGUUCGUUGGAGAGUUUUGGACGUCGGGAUCGUAGGUUUCAAGUUUGGCCGAAUCUUUGGUUUUUCCAAGGUGAGAUUUCGUAGUUUUUAGGCCCUAAAACAAGUCCAACGUGAUUGUACACUCUUAGGGCUUCAAUUUGGUAUAAAAUACGAAGAAAAUGGGUGAAAAAACGAAGGAGAAUAGUGAGUUUGAAAAUCGGCCGGAGUUCGGCCGGAGUCCGGCCACCGGAGAACCAGUCCGGCGAGGACCUGCGAAGAAGACGACACGUGCGCUGCACGUGCUGCGCGUGGCCAGCGCGUGGACCCGUGCCACGUGUGGCGCGUGGGGGCGCGUGGGGCUUCCAAAAAAUUUUUCUAAAAAUUUCUCGACGCUCGUGACGUCGAGUAGGUCGAUGUGGUAUAUUAUUAUACCAAAAAUUGAGCAUCGUAUGAGAAGUUAUUUCAAAUUAUUGGUGAUGUGCUUUAAAAUUAAUGUUUUUAUAGUUGUUUCGCAUAUAGGUGAGACGUAUCCCGAGGACGACCGCAUCCAGGGACGCCACGGGGGUUACGACCCGUCGACUUAUCAGUGAAUGGGCAGUUUUGUUUUCGUAUUACCUAUAUACUACUGUUUUUCCCAGAAAAAUGCAUUUAUAUGAAAAUAUGUUUUUGAAUAUGCCAUGCAUAGAAUUAUUUGAAAAUCAUGAAUUGGUUUCACAUGAACUAUAUGAUUGAAAUAUGAUGCAUACAUGUUGCAUGGUGCUGUGGAGGCACAGGUAAGUCAGGUGAGUUCAUUUAUUCAUUGAAUUGUUGUUGUUGAGAUGAGUUGAGCUCAUAAUCUGCACCCUAGGUGUUAGUGCUUAUAUUAUUCACCACACCGCACGCUCGUCUUGGAUCCAAGUAGGUGGAUGUCGUACAGACCAUGUGAGGGUUCCGACAUGCUAGUCGUACAGAUCACUAGGCGUGAUUCCGACUAGUGGGUGACCUUAGUUAUGCGCGCUGAUGAUAUGAUGAGAGAAGCACUAGAGCGUAUUUUUACACCUUUCAUCGUAUAGACUACCUUACGUAGUUCCGAGUGAUGUGCAGAGUAGGGCCGUAUAGGUCACUGUGGUGACUCCGGCUUAGUGGGAUUUGAGCUAUUGAAUUAAUCGUAUAGGACCAACUGCAGGGUCUCCGAUUGAUUCCUUAUUCACCUGAUUUAUAUUUUUUAUUUAUGUCAUGGCAUGUUUUCUUGAAAAUGUUAAAGAUUUGAGAUUUAAAUGUUGAGAUUUUAUAUGGUUAUAUAUAUUUCUGGGAAAGUAUACAGGUUUUUACGGCGAGGGGAUAUAACUGUUUUAAUGAAAUGUUUUGGAAAACUAAUUUGUUUUACUGACCCACUCAUUUUGUUUUGCGCCCCUCCAGGUUCUAGUUUAGCGGUGGUUGGCUCACGAGGUCCUUUCCGGCUUUCUGACAGAUUUGGGACAUGUAGGACUCACCUGAGGGUGAUGUAUUCUUAUUUUAGUCCUACUUGACUGCAGUUAACCUAUGCUCUGAACUUAUGUGUUUACUUGUAACUCGUCCGGUUAUGUCCGUAUGUGGUUAUGUUGAGUUUGGGUUGAAUUUCUGUUGUUAUUACGCUUCCGUGUCGUGCUUAUGGUUACGUCACGCCCACGUGACGGCCAGCACACCUGGAUCCUCCGGAUCAGGGUGUGUCAUAGAACACCUCUUUAUAGUAUAGAUGAUGGAUGACUUUAUACUAUGAAGUUGUUUUUCAAUAUAUAUGUUCAAUGGUUUUGUACUUACCUAGUGGUCCUUUCCGCUACGGGACGUAGGGAUAGAUUCCGGUCAUUCCCGGGCGACGGUUUGGUGUUGGCAUAGGGCCUGGAGUGUGUUUCCUCUGGCUAUUUAGCACAGGGACGGGGAGCCGGCAUGGGGCCUGAAGUGUAUUUUCCUCUGACUGUCUGCUCAGAGACGGGGAGCCGGCAUGGGGCCUGGGGGUUAUCGGACAAUUCACUAGUGAUUAUUAUAUAUAUAAAAGUUAUGAUUUGAGACACUGCACAUCAUGCUAGGUUUCGGAAAACCUAUGUUUAUCAUUAUAUAUGUGUUUUCAUAAAACUUGGGGGUUAGUACGUUGAUAACUGUUUUGUUAUAUUUAUAUCAAAUUGGUCCACUCAUGUUUGUUUUGCGCCCCCUUCAGGAUUUAGGAUCGAGGCGUACAAUCCCGGCAAUCCAGGCACUUCCGCAUCGGUAUCUUCAAGUCCUCUCGGUGUAGAACCCACUUCUGUGUUCAUUCAAUUUUUAUAUUAAUCCUUUUAAUGUUCUAGAUUAGAUGUGUGCUCUGAACACGUUCCUUAAAUGCAUAUUCUUUAUUCUCUUAUAUUUAUAAGUUUUAUCUAUCCUUUAUUUUCAGCAAUUGCACUCAAUAAAUGGCUUUCGUCGCCCUCGGGUGUCGGCCAGCACGUGACCAUCCUGAUAUCCUGAGGAUAUCGGGAUCGGGGCGUGUCAAUUUGUGAAGAAGAAUUUUUAUGCACUGCAACUGUUUGAUCGUCUGUCUAAGAGAGGGAGUGCAAAUGUACAUGUGCUUUAUGUGGCCUCUUUAGAUAUGCAUGAUUUAGAAGCUAGCCCUAAACUGGAUGGUAGUAGCAGCAAGCCAAGGGUUAAAGAAGUGUCUUCUGAAGAAAAAGAUAAUGUGUCUCACAUUGAGAUUAAGAUUACUGAAUACCAUAGCUCCGAUGAAAAGUGUGUUCUGAGGUAUCUUAAUCUUUCAGACAACGCCAUGGGCAACUAUGGUGUCAAUGCAUUUGAGUCACUUCUUAGUUCACAAAACAAUUUGAGAGAACUUUAUUUGAUGAAUAUGGCAAGGCUCAAUAUGUGUCAUAACAUGAGGGAGUGGCACUGCGAUGCUAUUAGGAAGAUCAAAUGGCUGAAUGAGAAUGAGAUUUCUGUUAUGAUCAAUACCGAAGGACAAGCAAACUAUGAAGGUUUUUUUUAUUGUAUCAAAUAUGGUGAGGAGCUCACUUUUAAGCUGUUGCUCUAUUUCCAAGCUGUCAAGGCAAAAAGUCUUGGGUUUACUAAACUUGGGUCACCAAAAGAGGCUAAGAAGGUUGUUGGGAACAUGAAUGAUGUUACUGCUAGUGCCAAACAGCUAAAGGAGAUGGAACAAGGCUUGACCAGUUUGAUAGUUUUGGGGAAUGGGCGAUUGUCUGAUCUUAUUGCACAGCUGCAGGAUAUAUUAGAGGGUGUAAAUGAAGCUGAUAUCUUGCCGGAGAAGUUUGAUAAUGCAGUUAUUAAAGCUCAGAUUCCACAAUUGGCUCGAGAAAUCAGGGAGUUAACCUCAUCUCGACCUGUAACCAUCUACAAUGAGAAUUCUUCCUCUAGUGGGAAUUAUGCUUCAUAUUUAGUUCCACUUGCUGCACUUGCUGCAAUGGGCUAUUGUUACAUGUGGUGGAGAGAUUGGUCAUUUUCAGAUGUGAUGUAUGUGACAAGGCAUAAUAUGGCAAAUGUUGUUGAAGCUCUAAUUAGAGAGGUAGCUAGCAAGAGCAAUGACUUUGCUGGGAACGGAACAACAAAUACAUUGAAGAUGAGUGAAUGCGCUAUGGGCACCUAUUUAGAUUUAGUAUGCUCUCUUAGUCACCUGGAAAGCAAUUUUGGUGGUGCCUUAGUUAUUGAUUUACAUGUUGAGUUCUCUUUGUUUUUCACUUGUAACCCUGACUGUCGGCUUUUAUGGGAUCCAGGAGAUGCAAUGGCUAAAACUGUUAAGAUGAUACUCUAUUUUAAAAAUGUCAAGGCAGAGUGGCUUAACAGGGUUACAAAAAUAACCAAGUUUGGUAGUUUUAUGGUACAAUUGGAUAGAAGUGUUGAAGCUUUGAAUAAGGGCAAAAAGCAAAAAACUAGAGAUGGUGGAUAUGGUGAUGAGAUAAAGAGAUUGCAUGAUUUAAGCGUGAACAAGGUUGUGGAUAUGGCGACUAGGUUCGAAAGUGCAUUGGUAGGACAUGUUAACAAUAUAAUUUGUAGUACUACUGUAAGAUUGGAGAGACUUCACUCCGAUGAUUGGUGGUGUUCUGCUAUAUCUCAACUGCUGAUGAUUGGUAAAUCCAUCGUAUCUAGUUCAAACAAAACUCAGGAAGCAAAUGUGGAUGCUGUUUUGGGAACCGGUGAUCCGAGUCUACUAGUUGAGAACACUUCAGUUGAGCAGCUUGGUUUCGUCAGAAAGGUGACAAUCUUUAAGGACUCCACUUCCAUUAUUGGUGAUGCAGCAUCAAAAGAUGGGUUGCAAGUCCAUGGUGUGUCUCCAUUUGACAUUAUGGGCAGAAAUCUUUUCUGGGAAAAGCAACUGCAAAGGCUGCAAAUGGGAGCUGUCACAAGAAAGUUCUUGGUGGUUAAUUUCAGUUCUGGUUUUGAUGAAUCUUCAUAUCUCUCUCGGGUUGAAAAUUUUGAGGAGAUGUCACAAGAAAAUUAUGGAGAGGCUACAGGAAACAAGAACUCACUCACUCAGUUCAAGCGAGCUGCCAUACCUGGAAGGAUUAUAAUGAUUUCAAAGUCAAGUUCUACAAUUCCAUUUUUAAGCCUUGAGGACAAGGCUAAUUUUCAAGGGGGAAGUAUUGUUAUGACCCAAAUUAUUACUGAGGUUUUAUGCUUUAUUACUGUGAGGAAUUGUUAAUAUGCCAGCUGGCAUUUAAAAGUGUAGAGGUUUUAUAAAAGGAGCCCCAGCUCCCCCAAAUGUAUCAGAUCAGAAUUUUACAAAAGAAAUCAAUAUUGGAGCUCUGCUCCUUCUUCUCUCAUUCCCUCUUCUUCCAUAGCUUUCUUGUGCCACUUGCAGGUUGAUUAAGGGAAUUGAGAAUUAGAUCUUAUCAUAACGUCACUACCACAACUCCCAAUAUCAUCACGCUGAAUGUCCACACUCGGUUUCUGCUCAAUUAAAGCGUCAAUUUCCUGCAAAAUACUCUCAUCGAAAUCAUCAUCGUUAAGAAUUCCAGAUGCAGAGAAAGAAUCAAAUGAAGUCAGAAACUGCGGUUGUCUGAUUGGAGUUGUGAAAGAAUCCGAUUUUGACACGCUUGAUUCGGUCCGGCUAACGCUUAAGCUCCCGGAACACGAAGCACUGCCAUAUUCACCACGCGCUGAAUUGUACCGGCUUGCGGAAAUCGGAAGCGGUGUUCUUUGAACUCUAUUGAGCUGAGUUGGCGUUUGGAUUCCAUUUCCGCCAAAAAACACAAUUGAAUUGAUUUAAAUUGAAGCAAGAAAACAGCCAAGUAGCCAAAAAAUAGUAAGAAGAUGAAACCUUUGAUUCCUGAACGACUUACUUGGUAUGAGGGAGGUGAUGAUCAGGUGAAACGGCGUCGUUGCAGGGGCGUUUGCGAUCAAUGAGGGCCUUGGCGGCUCUGAAAUUCCGAGAGAUGCGGUUUCUUUGUUCCGCCGUGAGCCCUCCGCCGUACGCCUGAACGUUUUCCUUGGACAUUGCUUCCAAGAUUCCAACGGAGGAUUUGGCCUGACGGCCUGACCAGGCUGAUAACAGUGUAAAACCUUAGGAGCUAAGGAAAAACUAAGAGAGAGAUUGUAGAGAGGGAAAGUUUUUUCUUUUUGGAAACCAGUAGAGAGGGAAAGUUUGUUAAACCUGAAUAAUAUUCUUUUCAUUCAACUUGUCUACAAUAAUUACCACUCGUGGUAUUUAUACAUUUGUAACACACCUCACUAACUAACUAAGACCACCACCAAUCAUACAUAAACACUUGUCAUAAUCCUAUGCACUCAUAGUAUCAUCACUUUAACAUUCCCCUCAAGCUCAUGUGGCAGAUUGCCAAGCAUGAGAUUGGAACAAUUACGAGCGAACUGGGGUGAACACAAGCCUUUGGUGAACAUGUCGGCAUAUUGAUCUGCAGAGGUAACAAACUACAAAAUAAUUGUCCUUUGAUGAACUCUUUCACGAACAAAGUGGCAAUCAAUCUCUAUAUGUUUGGCUUUAUAGUGCAAUACAGGAUUAGUGGCAAGAGCCAUUGUUGAAAUGUUAUCACAAUGCAAAACUAGAACAGAAGGAGAACCAACAUGCAAAUCUCGAAGAAGCUGUUGUAUCCAGAUAACCUUAGCAGUGGUUGUAGCCAUUGCUCUAUAUUUAGCUUCAGUGGAAGACCUACUCACUGUAUGCUGCUUUUUAGAACUCCAAGAGAUAGGAGUAUCUCCCAAAAAAAUGACAAAACCCGUGGUUGAACGACAAUCAUUGGGAUCCCCUACCCAAUCAGCAUCUGUAUAAGCUUUCAACUGAGAUGAACCUGAUUUAAAACAUAAUCCCAAAGAUAUAGUGCCUCUGCGAUAUCGUAGAAUACGUUUCACAGCAGCAAAUGAGUGGCUAAGGGUGAAUGCAUAAACUGACGUACUUGAUUGACAGAAAAAUAAAUAUAUGGUCUUGUAAAUGUUACGUAUUGCAGUGCCCCAACAAUACUUUUGUAAGUGGUAGGAUCAAAAACAGGUUCACUACCAUGAUUCAGAAGCUUCUGAUUAGGAUGACAAGGUGUGGAAAAAAGGUUUACAGUCUAGCAUAUGCAUCUUUUAAAGGAGUUCUUUGACAUACUUGGUCUGAUGAACAAAGAGUCCCUGACCCUGAUACUCAAUCUGUAAACCAAGAAAAUAAUGCAACACACCUAGAUCUUUCAUGCCAAACUCACUAGUUAACUAACUAAUAACCUUCUGAACCUUCACAGCAUCAUUACCAGUGAGAAUGAUAUCAUCAACAUAUAAUAAGAGAACAAUAAUUGAUGAACCAUCACACUUGACAAAUAAAGAAGGAUCUGCAUAUGAUGACUUGAACCCAAGCUUAGGCAAAUAACCUGAAAACCUGUCAUGCUAGGCUCUGGGAGCUUGCUUGAGACCAUAUAAAAACCUCUCUAGUUUGCACACAUAAUCUGGAUAGGUAGAAUCCACAAACCUUUGGGACUGAGACAUAUAAACUUCUUCAUCAAGAAAGCCAUGCAAAAAAGCAUUAUUGACAUCUAACUGUUUGAGUUUCCAAUUAUGAGAUGCAGCCAAGGAUAAAACCAAUCGAACUAUGGUUGGUUUGACCACAGGGCUAAAGGUUUCAUAAUAGCUAAUACCAACUUCUUGAGAAUACCCAUUAGCUACAAUUCUAGCCUUGUACCUAGCCACUGAACCAUCUGGAUUUCUCUUAAUCUUGUAAAUCCAUUUACAACCAACAAGAUUUUUGUCAGGUGCUAAGGGCACAAGCUUCCAAGUAUGAAGCAUCCAUCUCUUCUUUCAUGGCAUUUUGCCAUUGAACACACUUGACUGCACUAGAAAAAGACCGAGGUCCAAUAAAUGGAAAUGUGGAAGAAACACUAGGUGGAUGAAUGAAUGUGUUUGAAUGCACAACAGACACUGGUGAGGAAGAAUGACCAGAAGUAACUUGAGGAUUGAAACCCAAAGCAUUAGAGUCUAUAGGAAACUUGGAUUCAUAAAAAAUAACAUGUCUAGAUACUAAUAGUUUAUGAUCUUUGAGAGAGAAGCAAAUAUACCCUUUGUAUUGUGUAGCAUACCCCAGAAAAAUACACUUAGUAGUUUUAGGUUCAAGUUUAUUGCUUCUAUAGGGUUUCAAUGAAGGAUAGCAUAAACACCCAAAAAAUCUCAAAUGAUCAAGCUUAGGUGGAGAUUUAUAUAGCAUUUCAAAAGGAGACUGCAUAUGUAGGGUAGGUGUGGGCAUUUUGUUUAUAAGAAAAGUAGCAGUGGCACAGGCAUGGAACUAGAAUUUUGAAGGUAAUGAAACUUGUUGUAAAAAGGUAAUAGUUGUUUCGACAAUAUGUUGAUUUUUUCUCUCAGCCAACCCAUUAUGUUAUGGGGUAUAAGGACAAGAUUUUUUAUGAACAAUGCCUUUGGUAAGAAGAAAUUGCUUAAACUGAGUACUAACAUAUUCCCUACCCCCAUCACUCUGCAAAAUUUUUACAUGAGCAUCAAAAUAAUUCGAGACAGAAGCAAGAAAGUUGACAAAAACAGUGAACACUGCAACUUUAUUAUUUAAUGGAAAAAUCUAGGUAUAUCUUGUACAUUCAUCAAUAAAGGAAACAUAAUACUUGUAACCUUCUAUAGACAAACUAGGUGAGGGACCCCAAACAUCUAUGUGAAUUACUUCAAAUGGAGUAAGUGACUUCGAAGCAAUUACAGGAAAAAGGAGCUUGGUAAACUUGCCUUGCAAACAAGCAUUACAAGUAUGAGAUUGAGAGUUACAAGGAAAAGAUAUACAAGACUUAUUAAGUGCUGCAGUGACAGUGGAAUGUGUAGGAUGGCCUAAUUGACAAUGCCACAAUGUAGAAGAAAUCUUUUGACCCACAAAUGCAACUGGAUUAAAAACAGGAGAAAUAGACCUCUGUGGUUUGAUUAUGGGAAGUGGAUAGACAACAUUAUUACUCAGCCCUUGGAAUAGCACUCUCCCGGUGACCUUGUCCUGUAGACAGAGAGAAACAUCAUCCAUGAUACAACGACACUGAUUAUCUUUGCACAACUGAUUCAUAGAUAAUAAGUGUUGUGACAGUUUUGGAACAUGUAACACAGAGUUUAACUUGAAAUUAUGUGACUAAGUGAGAAGAGAAGAGGAACCAAUAUGUUUGACAGCUAAACCUUCACCACUAGCACUGGUCACAAUAUCAUUUGAUGGAUAAAUUUAUUGUCAUGUGCAAGUUUGACAAAUCUGAGGUCAUAUGGUUAGUUGCUCCCAAGUCAAGAAACCAGAAAUCUUGUUGAAGAGUUGAGGAUGAUGCACCAGCUCGUGCUUGCAUAGCAAGAGGAGGAUUUUGUGAGGAUAUAGUUAAUAGAUACAUAUGUGGUAUGACAAGAUACUGAAACUGUGAGCUAUUAGACUGUGGAAUCAUGCCUUGUGAAGGACCACAUGGAUUCUAGCUAGGUGCUUCACCAUAUGACCCAGUAGGCAUUGGAGUUGGCAUAGAUGAGGAUAAACCCUAAGAGAAAUGCUCUGAUGUGCCUGUGAAAUUUUUAUUCUGAUCAAAGCAAGUAGCAGCAACAUGACAACCUCUGUGACAAAUUUGACAUCCAUGUUGAAAACAAUUCAAUGCAGAAUGACCUUUGCGAUCACAUAUUUGCAGAAUGGCCUUUGCAACCCUAGAAAGAAGGAGCGAAGAAGACCAAAUGUGUACGUUUCUCUUUGGUUUUUUUUCCCUCCUAAUCGCGCUGUUCGAAAUCACGGACCUCGGGCCUGGGCCUAGUGGGCCCAAUUAUGAGGCCCAUUAUCUCCGGUCUUCUCGUUCUACUUCUAGUUACCCAAAUUAAGAACGUACGCUUUUAGCGCGAGAGAGAAAUGGAGGCCCUGAUUGCCUCGUACGGAGACUCGUCGUCGGGCUCAGACUCCGAGUCGCCGGCUCCACCUCCACCACCACCUCCGGAGCUCAACAACCCUCAAGAACCGACCCCUGCGCUGCCUCCACCUCCUCUGUCACUUCUCGACAGCCCCAAUUCCUUCGGUAACCUCUGAUUCCCAUCAAUUUUCAUCUUUUAGCUUUCUGUUGUGAUGGCUUUUUCCGAGUUGCCCACCAAGUGUUUGAUGUUUUGCCUCCGAAGAAUUUCUGGACUUAUCGGCAAGCGCCCAGCCGAGCAGAGUUCGGAACUUUCCUCACGUCGAAGGGAACUACGCAGUACAUGUAUACAUCCCAGGUUAUCAAAAUUCUCGAAAUUUUCAGCUCCAUUAGCAAAUGCGAUCGCUUUGCACUUAGUUUUUGCUUGUUUAAUUGUGUGGUUCCAGUUUAUAUACCACCAGCACCAAGGAAAGAGAUGGCCUUGUUUUUGAACAAGCUAGCUUCUCUGCUGCCUGGUCUCCAUGCGGUUGACGUUGACUUCCCGCUUGACAUUCUGCGUAAGGACGAGCACAAGCUUGAACAAGUUGCUUUAGGCAGAGAGUUCCAUAUAAGUCUCGGAAGAACUGUUCCGAUGCGGGUGCACCAGAUUGAUUCCUUGGUGACAAUGCUGCGGCAGAAGCUUCAGAUUCAGAGGCGGUAUGGUUACAUUUACAUUCUCUUGUCUGCAUUGCGUGAAUUUAGUUCUGUUAUUUAACAUAAUUCUGUAAGCCUGUUUUCGUAUAAAUGCACGGUUGAAUCAGCUUUCAUUGUCUACAAGUCUGAAAUAUUUUAACUUCCAUUGAUUUCAGAUAACAAAGCAGAUUCAAGCUGUGAAUGAGGUGUAUAAGCUUCACAAUCUUCCUGAAUUUUACAAGGUUAGCUUUUUCGUGCUUUUCAAACUCGAAUCGGUUCCUGAAUGUAUGACAAUAUAUUGGAUCAAACGAUUUCUCAAAACACUAAUUCACUUGAUGGGGUCUUGGUGAUCACAGGAUCCACGCCCUCACAUCUCGGUAGCUUGAGCAUUGGGUGACAUCAGCAAUUCCCUGAACAAAGUGGUUGAAGAAGAAAGACGAAGAUCUACCAUCGGAGGAUCGUUACAGAAAUGUAUUUUUACCAGUAAAUUCAAUGGUAUCGAUAUCGAAUGUAGGAUUGGUAAUAAAACACACAAAAUAUGUAAAUUUUCUGAAGAAUAAUGUAGCCAUUUAACUGUAUUGUGAAAUUCCGAGAAUAUAUGGCUGAGCAUUGGAUGAGAAGACAUUUCUUCGUUGGUGUCGAACUUCUUGUCGAAGGUAUUGGCACCAGUGUAAACGUCAUCAUCCAUGUUGAUGGUAAUUACUUACCAGCUACUAAGGGUGUCGGAACAACCUUGCACGCACCCUCCUGUGCAUUACUUGGUAUUGUCUCGGAUUCUCCAAACUUGAAUGCUAAUGUAAACCCACUCUUGACCUUUCCGUCAUCUGCAAUUACCGGAAAGCCGGCUUGGAUGUUGCCGUUGACCUACCAAACUUAAAAUACCGACGAAAUGUUGGAGUACUUCAGUGUACUACUCGUUUUUGUAUGCGAGAGCUCCACCUCUAUCGUUGUAACAGCAUCUGAUGCGGACUAGUCCUUCAUUCCCGUUACUCUUUGCCAUCUCCACUUCAAACUUGGUGUGAUGGCUCCCGGCCUCCUCUCCGGUGAAAUUGAGUAACCCCGGAGCUGGCGUGCCAUCAAGAUUUCCGUUGUGUCUCUAUUUGCUGUUGUGGUUCGGUUCCACUAUAAACUUGGCAGAGUUAGCAUUUUCAUUCUGUUGUCUGUAUAUCUUGAUAUUACAAGUAUUUGUUGUGCAAAAUGCAUGCUAAGUUCAAGUUAUGUUUAUAUGUGUGUGUGUGUUGCCACUUUUCCAACGUUUUCUCCAAAAUUGUGACGAGCAACAAAGCAGUUUUGAUUCCGUGCACAACAACGAUACCUCGAAAGAAAUUGAUUCUUCCCCAGAAAGAUGUUUUAAAACAAAGUUGAACAAGGGAAGAAAACUUUUGAAUCGCAAUCAGAUGUCUGGUCAAAUUCUUUAACAGUUGAUGUAUACAGAAGUUCCUUGCUUAUGACACGACUUAUGAGAGGAUGUAUGUAUUGCAUUUGCAUCAAAAGAAAGAAAGAAGGUUGUAAGUGGUAAGGGAACGACUACCGAUGCCGCUCCACUUCUAAUCAAAGGGAUCGAUCCGAGGGUCGUGUUCACUUGCCAUCGCCAUUCCAGUGCAAAGGCAUGUCGGGCACAUUACCUGCCACAUUUACAGACGCAAUGUUAGAUAUAGCUGCCAUUUGGAAGUCAUCUCUCAAAAUUUUGCUACUAAAUUAAUCUUAAACUUCAUUUCCAGUGCAAUUUUUUUCUUCUGAAUUGUCUUUCACAUGCCCGACAAAUAGAAGUAUCACCAAACAUGUGAUAUAGAGCAUCUAAGCGGCAGGCACUAAAAGGAAUUUAGUAUGCAAUAAACAUUCAACGGACAUAAUUAUAUGUCUAACCUUUCCCGCUCCUGAGCAAUUUGAACAUCGUUCAGUUUUUGGCAGAGAUAGGGGUUGGUUUCCGCCAUCAGCUGUCGAUACUGGUUCAGUAAGAACAAGGGUUCCAGUGCUGGAGCAACGAGCACAAGCAAGAGAUCCUGCGUAAGUAUCAAAUACACAGGUAAGUUGACAUACGAAACCAAUCCGAACAUCUCCAUCGUAUAUAUUUAAAGCUACAGUACAUAAAACUAAAAGUCAGAAAUAUAGGACAUUAUCACACCAGUUCCAAGACAAUAUUUGCAUCGUUUAUGCUCCUGCUGUUUCACAUUGUUUAUUUCAACUACCAUCAAUGCUGAGAUCACUCCGACUGCUCCUCCAGAGAAUGACGCCACUAUGGGAUCAACUUGACUGCAGUUUGAAAGUAAAGGAGAUCAAUAAACGAAACUGGUAACAACAUAGUAUCAACAUUAUUUAGCUUCGUUUCAAGAAAGAUGACAUCCUAGGUUUUUCUAAUGUGUAAAAAUUGAGGAUCCUCGUAAAAUUUGACUAUAUCGGUUCCCAAAGCAUUUGAUUCCUACGUUACAGACGGAAAACAGCAACAAUCGAAUUUAAAGAUUCAUAACACGAUAGAUGGUACAAAAUUUCAAAACGAUAAUUACUAGAGAACAGGAGGGUUAAUAGCCUGAGAUAUGAGCAAUACCUCAACUGCAACGGCAGAUGCAUAUUUACUAUAAAGUCUUUAUAUGAUGUGCCUCCUAUUCCCAGCUUCAACUCCAACUGAAAGAUGUAAAGGUAAUUGUAGGCAAAGAGUUACAAACAUAACCGAAUCCAUGUUUUAUAAGCAACAACUACACUUAUUUUGAUAUGUUUCCUCAUUUUUUACUUGCAAAUUCCAAACCAUAUUGUCGGACCAGUAAAAGAAAAUAAUGUUUAUGAUAACUGUUAAAACUAAUUACAACAAGUUAAUGCAUAAAGAACUUACGGAGGGUGCUAUGAGGCCACCGAAAAGGAUAAACCCCGCAAUAAUUGAAUAACAAACAGCAUAAUACUGCUUAAGGUUGUCUGAACUCUGCAAGCAAUGAAUUCACCUUGUGAUUAAUACUUUGCACAAACACUAGUUUUCGCAAUUUUUUAUGAAUCGACAAAAGGCUACAACAAAAUAUGGCUAAAACAUGUCGGGGAUAUGAAAAUACAUGUCUUCACAGGGGCACCAGCUUACCAGGGGAGGCAAAAAUGGAAUGAACGAUGGAAAACUAGGAAGUUCGUUUUCUUGAUCUUCAUUUACCGCUCCAAGCUCUGCACGUUUAAUCCGCUGUUGUAUCCUCAGCCUGCGAACCUACGCAUAUCGAAGCUCAUUCUUAAAGAACACAUUUCUAAUGGCAAUUGGAGAGUAAUUUAAAACAUGCUACACUGAGAAAGUGGUAGCAACUAGCAAUUGCUCUCACCUCCUCCAUAUGCAAGAAAAUUUUGUUGCGACGACUCCGAAUAUUAUCUUGAAUUUCCUGCAGCUCCAUUGUGGCAAAAUCCUGCACUGUUUCAGGCCCCUCUAUGAUACAAAAUCUGCACCAUUAAGCAUGUAAAAAUUAAAAAUUACAAGCUACAAAGCAAUUUCCGUAUAGUUGUUGGGUUAAAUAACAUCAACAGCAAAUAAAUCACAUAGGUUUUUCACAUAAAGUUACAAACUUUCAAGGACUAAUAAGCUGUCUGCAAUCUCAUAAAUUUCACAGUGCAAAGUAACAAUCCAAAGCUUGGAACUUUAAAUUUCCACCUUCUGUUAAUUUUUUAGUGCACCUGGUGUCGUUAGAUUCGAGUAGUAUGUCACAUUAAAUUUUUUUUUUCUGUGCAUGCAUUUUUUUUUAAAAGAAAAUUUAUAUUGUUAAAGAGCGAGUUCGAAACUAUUACAUUAUGGAAGGACAUAGUACCGAAACUCCGACGAUCAAAAACAAAAUCAUGUACAACCACUCCAAGCAGUCAACAUGGCCAUCACAUAUUGAAUCCAAAAUGUUGACGCCCCAUUCGCUGCAUAUAAUGUACAGACGAGCGGCAGCUUCAACCAGUUCUGCCAUAUCCGGCUGGAUGAGAGCAGCUAAAGACAUGAUUGUUCCCUAAUAACAUGAAUAAAUUGAGUAAACACCAAAAGUAGCAGCAAGGGAAGGAGAUGUGAAGUAUAUGAAGAGGUGUAAGACCUGUGAAUGUCCAGCAACAAAGAUUUUGGAGCUUGUUGUCGAAUAAUGCAACGCGUCAUUUCUGGUAGAUCAAAUAGAGCCAAUUCCCGCCAACUCCAAUUCCAAAAUUUCUACAGUAAAGCAUAAAUCUUAUUCUCUCUUCUGAUAAAGAUGAGUGUCCCAGACUCCAACGUGUUCCACACACAUUCCCUACCCAUACAUCGAAACCUUCAUCUGCAAGGACGAAUCCCAGCGAUUCUUCUGGAGAAUUUAAGAAUCAUGCAUCACCUGGUUAAGAUCAAGAAAAGCCAGUAACCAAGUUCAAUUGAGUUAAAAUGUAUCCCAUGGAUGUUCAUCACUUUGCCCAAUUGUUCUUUUCAAGAAAGGAAAUUUCAACAGAACCUGAAAACUUCAGAUCAGGGGGCACCAAAUAGUGAGCUAUACAUUCAAAAUUUGAAAUAAUCAACUUAGUAGGACCAGUAUGUUGAAAAAAUAGGAAGGAGCUAUGAAAGUAAGACUUUUCACUAAUCAGGCGUCCAGAGAAUCCAUAUUUUACCCGCGUAUCAGUUACGGGGAACACUCCCCACCAGAGCAAUCUCAUUAGUCCUUCACAUCUCAACCGUACAGAAGUUGCACUAACAAACAUGACUCCUAUUAGUCCUUCACAUCUCAAAUCCAGGAAGUACCCAUCUUUCGUCUGAAUCUGGAAAAUAAGCAGCAGUCAAUUUAACAAUCUCGGUAUCUCAAAGUUACUCACUUUAAUCACAAAUUUAGCAAUUAAACAUAUAAAUGGGCAUUUUUUUAGGGAAAUAUUAGUAUAGUACUCACUGUGUGCUCGGAGCAAGAGUACCCAGAAAGCUCAAUGAGCUGCGCACAGAGGACUGCAGUGGUGAACGACAGCGACCGCACAGAGGACUGCAGUGGUGAACGACAGUGACCAAUUCUGUAAAAUUUAGUCGAGUUUUGGGAAAUUUCUGCAGCGAUUUCGGAGGUCAAGAGGCUGAUAAGGAAAGCCGCGACCAAAGGGCACUGGUCUGGAAGAAAGGCUUUGGUCGCCGCUAUCGCAAUUCACGAAGGAAGAAGUGCCCCAAAACAAUUUCGGCCCUGGACAGGUGCACUGUUUGCACUGAGCCAGGGCCGGCCCUGAAUCGCGAUAACGUCCUUCUCCAAACAGUAUAUAUACAGAUGCUAGAAAAAUCUACCGGAACUAUUCAAUUCUAGCGUCUACAGCUUUAGCAUUAGUUGGUACAAGGGGCAUUCUUCCAAAGAGGGAGAUGAAAUCGUUGAGGCACCAAAUAGUGAGCUAUACAUUCAAAAUUUGAAAUAACCUCUUGGUAGGACCAAUAUGUUGAAAAAAUUGGAAGGAGCUAUGAAAGUAUGGCUUUUCACUAAUCAGGCGUCCACAGAAUCAAUAUUUUACUCACAGAUCAUUUACGGGGAACACUCCCCACCAUAACAAUCUUUUUAGUCCUUCACAUCUCAAACCAAGUAGAAAUUGCAGUAACAAACACGACUUCUAUUAGUCCUUCACAUCUCAAACCCAGUAAGUACCCAUCUUUCGUCUGAAUCUGGAAAACAAGCAGCAGUGGAUUCAACAAUCUGGGUAUCUCAAAGUCACUCACUUUAAUCACAAAAUUAACAAUUAAACAUAUAAAUGGGCAUUUAUUUAGUGAAAUAUUAGUAUAGUACUCACUGUGUGCUCGGAGCAAGAGUACCCAGAAAGCUCAAUGAGCUGCGCACAGAGGGACUGCAGCGGUGACGACGGCAACCGAUUCUGUAAAAUUCAGUCGAGUUUUGGGCGAUUUCUGCAGCGAUUUCGGAGGUCAAGAGGCUGAUAAGGAAAGCUGGGACGGAAGGGCACUGGUCUGGAAGAAAGGCUCAGGACACCGCUGUCCCGAUUCGUGAAGGAAGAAGUGCCCCCAAAACAAUUUCGGCUCUGGACAGGUGUACUGUUUGCACUGGACCAGGGUCGGCCCUGGCGAUAACGUCCCCCAAACAGCACAUAUACAGAUGCUAGAAAUAUAUAAAUGUAACCUGAAACUACUAGAACCAUUCAAUUCUAGCGUCUACAGCUUUAGCAUUAGUUGGUACAAGGGACAUUCUUCCAAAGAGGGAGAUGAACUCAUUGAGGCUCUUAUUUAUUCCUCCUCUUGAUGUGCCCUUUUAGGCUGCUAAUUCCACACGAUCCAAUCUCAUACAUCUUCCCUGCAAAAGCAUGUGUGCCUGACUUCAAGAUCAAAUUUUUCCAACAAAAGAAACUUAAAGAUCAAACUCGCUAGAGGAAUAAGUGGUGCACAAGGGUGUUAAAAUCUUGACAUAUGUAUAUUUUUGGCAGAUUUUAUGUGAGCAUGCAACUAAAACUGGCAUCACUAUCAAUGGUGCACAAAGAUUGGUGGAAAACUUUAACAGUUUGAGUUGUAACUUCUCCAUUGUAUUUGUUAAGGCAAGACGGAUGUCAUCUAUUCAUUUUUCUGUAAAACUUAAAAGGCUGCAUAGCAGCUCUUGUUCGUUGUAUUGAAUACCGUGGUUUUACUGAUGAAUGCAGAGUUUGCUGAUGAUUCAUACGACAAGCAAUUGAAAAUCCCAUCAUUAUGCCCCCCAUAUACCAGAAGAAAAAAAAGUCAUUUACACAAAUUCAGAGCGUUCAUCCACUGUAAUUUGCAGAUAUAGAAACGUUAAGAUAAAAGGAAAUGCAAAGUACCUUUCACCAAAUUGGAGGAGCACCGGUGGCAUUAGCAAGUUAGCAACGGGAAUUGACAUACCAAUAUCUUCACAGUUUCUGCACAAGCACAAAUCAAAAGAAUCCGGAGGUGGAGUUAUGUACCUCUCCUUGGAAAAUGCCACCUCUUGGGAUUUCAAAAUAUGCGGCCGUGGCUAGCCGUCUGACCACGCCAAUUCCACCAAAGCCGCCGCAACGCGGUGUAGUGUCCGAUUGAUUGCUUCAAAUCAGAGCUUCGUAUCCAUGUGUUUAUCAGCAGAGAGUACCCAAAACCCCUGAAAAUUAUUUCUUUAUUCAGAUAAUAAAAUAUCCCAAAUUUCGAAUUUUAAUUCCGAAUCAAAAAUAGGGUUUGAAUUUUGAUUACCUAUAAAUUGGGGGGUUGCGGUGGAAAGGGAGUCAGCCAAGACGGCGAUAUGCGUCCUCGAGAGGGCUAUGAAAAUACAAAUUACAGAGCGUGUUGGGACGAUGUACAAGGCUUUUGCAGUCUCUCAAAUAUAAAUACCGAAGCUCCGUAAGGCGUUCAAUCCAGGGGGAAAGCUCUUUAAUAGAUGUUCCAUCCAGGAAAAGACUUCUUAAUCCUUCCAUAUUUUCUUCAAUGCUUGGAAACAACUCAAAUUUUGUACAACCGGAAAGAGAGAGAGAGAAAAGGGACUUGAGCUGACAAAUGCUGCUUGGAAGACUCUUAAGUUCUUUGCAAUCUUUUAGAUUCAAAUGAUUCAAUCCCGUAAGAUUAUUAAUUGACGAGGGCAGUUCUUUAAUUUUUGACCCGGAUAAAUUAAGCUCUUCUAACUCCUCCAUACCUUCUGAAAUCUUUGGAAACAUCUCAAGACUAGAGCAGCCAGAAAGAUUAAAGGUUUUGAGAGAUUUCAUACGAAUGCUGCUUGGAAGACUCUUAAGUUCCGUGCAAUUAUGUAGAUUCAAAUGACACAACCUCGUAAGAUUAUUAAUUGACGAGGACAGUUCUUUAAUUUUUGAGCAGGGUAAAUCAAGCUUUUCUAACCCCUCAAUACCUUCUGAAAUCGAUGGAAACAUCUCAAGACUGAAGCAGCCAUAAAGAUUAAAGGUUUUCAGACAUUUCAUAUGAAUGCAGCUUGGAAGACUCUUAAGUUCCUUGCAAUCUUUUAGGUUGAAAUGACUCAACCCCGUGAGAUUAUUAAUUGACAGGGACAGUUCUUUAAUUUUUGACCCGGAUAAAUUAAGCUCUUCUAACUCCUCCAUACCUUCUGAAAUCUCUGGAAACAUCUCAAGACUGGUGCAGUCAGAAAGAUUAAAGGUUUUGAGAGAUCUCAUACGAAUUUUGCUAGGUAGAAUCUUAAGUUCCUUGCAAUCUUUUAGGUUGAAAUGACUCAACCCCGAGAGAUUAUUAAUUGACAGGGGCAGUUCUUUAAUUUUUGACCCAGAUAAAUUAAGCUCUUCUAACCCCUCCAUACCUUCUGAAAUCUCUGGAAACAUCUCAAGACUGGAGCAGUCACAAAGAUUAAAGGUUUUGAGAGAUCUCAUACAAAUUUUGCUAGGUAGAAUCUUAAGUUCCUUGCAAUCUUUUAGGUUGAAAUGACUCAACCCCGAGAGAUUAUUAAUUGACAGGGGCAAUUCUUUAAUUUUUGACCCGGAUAAAUUAAGCUCUUCUAACUCCUCCAUACCUUCUGAAAUCUCUGGAAACAUCUCAAGACUGGAGCAGUCAGAAAGAUUCAAGGUUUUGAGAGAUCUCAUACAAAUUUUGCUAGGUAGAAUCUUAAGUUCAUUGCACCCAUGCAGAUCCAAUAAAACAAGGUUUGUAAGAGUCGAAAUAGACGGGUGAACCUCAACUAAGCUUAUACAACUUCGAACAAUUAGCCUCUCAAGAUUUGGCACAUUUGUGAAGUCAGGGGUUUCCUUAAGGGAUUGACAAUAACUUAAAUUGAUGAAUUUCAACUUUUC